AAAAGAAAAAUCUCGCUAAUAAGGGCUUCACAAGUCGCAGACAUAUAUAAUUACGUGAAUUCGAUGUGAUAUUAGGCAUAAUGAGUAGCUGUUGAUUAAUAGGCGGUGUUGUAUACCGCACCCCCUGGAUUGGAGCAACUUAACCGAUGAAUGUGGAACUCAGAAUAUUUUUAAUAAUACAUGUAUGCUUGGAUUGAAAAAAUCAAACAAAAGUGCUUUUCUAAUUAUGCUCAUUAUGACCCAGCUAUCUAGAUAAUUCUUUCCGUGAAGGUCACUAUGUGGCAUAGUGCUUGACUUGAUAGUCAACUUCUUAUCACAUCAAAUAAUCAACUCCACAGCUUCUGCUACGUGCCCUCAUGCUCAGCUUUUAUAAUUAAGCUUUGGAAAAUGGGAAGAGUUACUUCACAGAGAGAGAGAGGCAAAAAGGCCCAAAAAAAAAAAAAAACUCAGACCCUUUAACACAUUGAACGUGCAAGUACAACUUCGUGAAGUUUGCAUGUUAAUUUGCCUACACUUUUCAUAUGAUUCUAGGCAGUAAAAGAUGAGAAAAAAGAUUUUAAUCAACAAUACAAACCCUUCCCUCCCCCCCCCCCCCCAAUUCGUAAGUAUUGCGCAAGUUCUGUAGCUCUUUAAUUGCUCAUGCCGAUUCCAAAAUAUAGUAAUAAUAAUAAUAAUAGAAUAAGAAGAGGAAUUUUAUUCUCGAGCAUUAUCAUAGUUUAAUGCAUAUAGGGUUGCUCCAUAAUUAUCGAAAACUAACAAGAAUUAAUCGUAUGGAUGCCAUCACAGUCCACUACCAAGUUAAGUGCUUGACUUGAUGUGUAUAUAUAUACUAUAGAUAUAUACUACUAAUAUUUAGAAACCUAAUGGACUUCUAACGUGUAUUAUUAUUUGAGAAUUAAUGUUCUUCUUUAAUGCCUGUGCAACAAUAUAUGGUUAAAAAAUACGCAUUAACAAUCAAAAAUCAAGAAAAAAGGCAAGCAAUACUUUGAGCUGCAUGCGCUGGAACCCAACCAAUCUCAACUUCGAAGGAUUCGCAGCGACAUAUCGUAUGAUUCGUUAAAGAUUGAUUCCUCUUUUUGGUUCAAUUUGUUUGACUGGCUUGAUAAAAAAAAAAGUUGACAAUGCAUCUUGAGUUACCAUUUGUGGUAUUAAAAAAAAAAAAAAAGGGGAAAUCUUGGUAAAAACACAUAAUAUCAGCAACUGGUGGCCGCACAUUUUCAAAUAAAAUAAACAGUUUAAGUUGAGAAAUAAAUAGAAUACAUUUUAAUAAAAGAGUAGGGCUAUUUGAACCCACUUAAUUACUCAUUAAACUCAUUUACUGAAUAAACACAUUUUUAAAAUUUAAAAUAUGUAAUUUUACUUUAUUAACCCAUGUUAAUACCUAAAAUACCCUUAUUAAGCUAAAUUAUCAUAAUUUCUCUGAUCAUUUUCUUUCAACAUCGUUUCUCCAUUUCUUCAUUCUUUUCUUCUUUAUUUUUGGACUUUUUCCCAUCACUAUAUUAUCCCAAAUUCUUAAACUUUUUUUUAAAUUUUUAGUAGAUGUUUUCCCCUUGAUAUUUCAUGUGUUUGGAACAAUACACUAAAAAAAUUUAAAAUAAACAACUGAUAACAAAAUUACAAAUACAUUUAUAAUAAAUAAAAAAUUCAAGUAAUUGCAACAGUUCUUGCAUUUUUUUUUUUUUCAUUUUCUUACAUAGAAGAAAGCUUGCUGAAUGGAAAGAUGAUUUGUUGUCCUAUUCAAAGAAAUUGGAAGUGAUGAAAUUAGAUGGUGGAAGUCAAGAGGAAUUGUAAUAGCAAUAAACUUUCAUCCAAAUAUAUUAAAAAAUUAAUUGAAAUUUUAUUCCAUAAGAAAAGUCAAAAGUAUAAAUAAGGGAAAACAAAUUUAAUCUUUGGGUUUAAAAAAUCGUAAACAUCAUGAAAACAAUACAUCGAAUAAUAAAGAAAAUAGGAGAAAAGUUGUAAUUUUUUUAUUUAAUUUAAUUAUACAAUCUUGUCUAUUAUAGUAAUUUUCUAUGUGGACAUUUUAGCAAUUAAAAAAUUUAUUAAAUAUUAAGUUUAAUAAAUAUUUUGGUGGGUUCAAAUAGUCUCACCCUUAAUCAAAACAUUAAAAUUAUUUGGAUGAAGAUAUAUAUUCGAGGGCCUGAGGUGCGGUAAGGUGAAGUGGAGAAACUAUUGUGAUAAUGAAUUCCAUUAGCAUAAUCAUAUUUAAAGGCGGAAGUGGGAGCGGCCAAAAGUGCUUUUGGAAAAAAAAUGUCCAGUCUUUGUGAUAUGGGGAGGUUUCCUUCCAUCCAUGGACCAUGAUCCAUCUUUAUCAAAUUGAGUGAAUUUAAUAAAUAAAAAAUUAUUUCAUUUUUAAGUCCAAAAUGUUAAAAUUAAGGGAUCCUUCUAACAUAUCAAUUAGGGUGCGUUUACUUUAUGGAAUGAGAAUGAGCUGAGAAUGUAAAUGGGCUGGAAUGUAAAUGGGUUGGAAUGAGAAUGAGAUUCCAAUGUUUAUUUGGCAAAAAUAAAUGGGAAUGAAAAUGUGCUGAAAUGACAUUAACGUGAUUACUUGACAAAAUAAAUAAGAAUGAGAAAUGUGAAUGAGAAUCGAUUUACUAAAAUACUCAUAGUAUUAAAUAAUGUAAUUUUCAUUAACUAGAUAUAUGUAUAAAUAUUAUUAUAAAAAUGAUAUUAAUUAAAAAAUAAAAUUAUUAAUAAUGAUAAAUGUUAAUAAUGAUAAUAUUAAUAAAAAUAAAAAUAAUUAAUAAUAACUAAAAUAAUAAAAUUAAUAAAAUUUAAUAAUAAUACUAAUGAUGUUUAAAAUAAUAAAAUUAAUUGUGAUUUGAAUAAAGGUAAUUCAGAAAAUAUAAAAAAAUUAGAGGGAUACAAAAAUCAAUUCAGGAAAUGAGAAUCCUCAUUCCCAACUUCCAUGGUAAUGAGAUUCUCAUUAUUUAUUCUCAAAUUGUGUGGGACUCAUACAUUUUAUUUUUAUUUUUAAAUUAUAUUUUAUCAAGUAAACAUAAGUUUCAUUUCUAUUUCUUCACCUCAUUCUCUAAAUUAUCAAGUAAACACAUUAGGAUGUUCCUAGCUAAUAGAUGACACAAAAUGUGAGUCCAGCAAAAAGCACUUUGCUUCAACUUUCAACAAGUGGGGGGUACUCUUUACAGCAAAACUUAACUCAAAUCAAAGGCCCCUCCUAUUCUAUUCCACAAACCACAGAAUAGAUAAAAUCUUCAAAGUGGUCUUGCUGGGGUCACCAUUUGCCAAUAAACAACUUCCAGCUAUCUUUUGGGCAUUUUUAUUUCUCCACCUUUGAUUUUUAACUGUAUUAUGCCUUUGCUAAUUAAAACUGUCGACUCUCGAGAAUUUUUCAUAACGGGUAUUCUGUAGAACAUCUAAAAAUAAUAAUAAGAAAAAGAAGAAAGAUAAAUUAAAUAAACAAAAGAUCUUGGGUUGGUAGUGGAUUUUAAGGAGAAGUUUUAAAAUACGUUAGAAGUAUUAUGUAAAUUAUACAAUAAAUAAAUAAUGUUAUAAUAUAUUUGUAUUUAUUUUUAAAAAAUCAUAAUAUAAAUGUUGUUUAUGAUAAAUUUAAUUAUACAUGUUAUACAUAUAUUAAUUAAUUGUAUUACUUCAUAUGUAUUUUAUAAUUUCUCGAAUUUUAAGACUGGAACUUACUUGGCACGCAAAGUAAGCCCUUGAUGUUUUGAAGAUUGUGGUGUGGGGUGGAGGGUGGGGGACAUCGGCCAAUGAAGUCGUACUGAGGCGGGAAAAAAAUAUAUAUAAAAAAAUAAUUUUCGAGAAAGAAAUAGAAAAGAAAAGAGUAAAAUGGUAUAAUCACCGAAAGUGGAGAGAAUUUAGUUCAUUAUAGAGUUGGGACUCAGCUAAGUUGCAGCAUCUGCAACUAACAUUCGAGUUCUUUAUGGCCCUGCAUCAGCCAAGUCCCAGCAGCUUUUCCUCUCUCCUGAAACAGCGUGUAAGCUGCUCAUUGGCUAUGUUGCAUACAGAAUCUGUAACAUAGCAAGUUCCGACCAGUUGGGGCUUGGGUCAACCAAAGAGAUAUAUACAUACAUGCAGCCCUUUUGCUGAUUUCUUUGUUAGUAGAAAUGGAAACACUCACUGUUGAAUCGUUGAUGGUAGGAGGCAGAGGUGAAAUACUAGUAAUACUACUAAUGCUGAUAGAGAUGUUAUGUUUUGUCGUCGCCUCGUGCUUUACUAAUAACGUCUGUAUUAUAAUUUCAGUCUGUGUUUCAAGUAUGCAUAAAUCUUGAGCAAAAUAAUGAUUCGAAAAAAAAAAAUGUUGACCAAAAUGUGACAAAGCAUGUGAAAAGAAAAAUCCACUUACUCUAGAUCCUAAUUAGUGUUUUAAGAUAUUGUAUUUUUUAAGACAGCUAUUAUGAAAAAAAAAAAAUUACAUUUAUAAAAUAAAAAUUCAUAUUAUAUAAUAAAUAUAAUUAUUAAAUAUUAAUUAUAACAAAAUAAUAAAAAUAUUAUAUAUUUUUCAUCAUAAAAAUGUGAAAUUAUAAACUUAAUUUUCAAACCACAAUAUUUACCAAAUGGGGACACACUCAGGUUCUAUUGUAGCUACGAUCAAAAUAUUAAAAGGGCGUGGGCUCAUGGCCACACUUCUGUUACCCAGUAACCAAAGCCAAACCCAAAAUCUUAGGAGUCGUUCAAAAGAAUGCCCAAAAGUUUGUUCUCGGCUAGGCAAACGAUUUAAAUCAUCGUAUCAUAUGAUUUGGUUCUAACUUAAACUAAACCGACAACCAGGCAACAAAUAGUUCUUGAUUAUCAAAUAACAUCACAAGCAUCGAGUAAACAACAAAGUUUUUCAACCACUAUGCUUGGGCAGAACCAUCAGGAAAAGUCUGUUGAUCAAUUCAAACCCGAGUAAUAAUUCUAUUUGCAAAACUUUUUGUUUGCUCCACUGAAAGUUCAUAGACUGGGGACUGCUAAAUACAAAUAAACUAACAAGAAAUACAAAGGAAACAAAAAUAUUGCAGAGAAGCAACACCUCCAUGUAAACCAAACCUACAAAAAAUUAACCUGGUUGGAUGUGAGGCUUUCUGCCCAAAUAUGACAUCCAAAAUGUACAUGAACCCAAUCAGGGAUGAGAAAGUUCUUGACCAUAUUGUAUGAGAAAGCCAUAACUCAGAAGUUAUGAGCAUUGAGGUGUGUUAUUACUAAUGUUACUACAUACUCAUGCCUAAAAAAAAUACUUCCUAAGCAGCUGUUGCAACCUCUACUCGUUUCUCAAUUCCUUGAAUAUCAACUAUUCUCAGCUUGGUAAGUUCCUGAACAAAGAUGAGUCCAUGUGUCAAGAAAAAUAAAUCAUAAAUCAACAUGUAAACAUAAACAUACACAUCUUCAGACAGACCUGGCGAUGUCCUUUAGUACGUCGGUAGUUCUUUCUUCUCUUUUUCUUGAAAAUAAUUACCUUCGCAUCUAAUGCCUGAGAGAAAGGAAGAAGAUAUUGACUAACAAAGAUAGUAUAAGCAUCUAAACAUUACAAUGAUAUAAUGUGCACAAACUGAUGAUUAGGUCACUGUAGAGUGUACAGUAUAAAAAUUGUUAAUGGUGUUUUAGCAACAAUAUCUACAACAAAUUGAAGUCUGCCAAACUCUCAAUUCUUGCUAUCAACAUAGAAUUUUUGGUUUGCAACCAAUUUUUAACUCCUAACCAGGAUAAUAGCACUCCCACAAGUAACCGUCAGGCUGACCUCUGUCAAACAACAACCAAUGGAUCUACAAUUCAUAGAAACCUUUAAUGUUACAAGAGAAGAGAGCUCAGGAAGCAACAUGGACUGGCAUGCUGUAUAAAAAGACAGCCAAUCUCCAAUGGCUUGACUCAUUUUCUACUACAAUGCAGCUUCUAGAGGUCAAAUCUAGACACAACCCCAAAACAAUUUCUGCACAAGAAACUCCAUAGGCUACCUUUAGUUUUAGAACCUUAACCCACUUCAAAAUCCCAAGAGGUGUUUUUUGCAGGCUCUUGAAACCCACCCCAGCCGAUCACCUCUUUCCCUCUUUUUAGACAAUUCCAUGACAAACAUAAACAAAAGGGGAAACAGUGAGAGAUUAGGUGUCAACUUACAUGCUCCUCAACAACUGCAUGAACGGCUGCAUCUGGAACCAUGGGCCUACCAAUGAUCGUUUGAUGUUGUGAACCCAACAACAGAACCUUGUUCAAAAUCAACUGCAACAGAAACGGUCACAAUAGCAUCCAAAAAAAAAAAAACGAUUACAAUCAACUAAAUGAUAAAUAGAAAAAGAACAAAUAAUCUUAAUUUUUCUUAGGCGUAUAAUGACUACACAUCUUUUCUGCAAACCACAGGUCAUAACAAUGACAACAUUCAGAAGCAAGUUCACACUGUCACUGAUCCAAUCUUUGGCCACAAACCAGGUAAUGCUCCAACCAGAACCAUAGUGGAAUGCCCACUCACAUUCAUUAUCAAAACCAGCAAGGACGUUCAAACGAAAGCUGUCAGAACAUGAUUAAUUUAUUUUUGUCAAUUUAUCAUAGCCUAAUACAUAGUGUUGUGCUCAACCACACUCAACACAGCAAUAGUCUAGUCCUAGACAGCACCUUCUCCUUGCAAACUAUUUUCUCUCUAAAUAAAAUUGUUGUUUUCAUUGAAAUAUCAAACAUAAAAUUAACAAGGGCGCAAUAUUCUAUUAAGAUCAAAAUGCCAAUUAUAACCCGAUCGACAUUUGAAUGAUAAUAUUAAAAAAACAAAAAACAAAAAUCUACCAACCUUGUCAUUCACCUCACAGAACUUCAAUCUCUCGGUAAAAAUCGAAUCCCCAUUGCUCACCUUAAACUGGUGCGACCCAAUCUAAAAUUAAACGAGCCAACAAAUUAAAAAAAGUUUUUUUUUUCCAAAAACAUUUACAAAAUAAACACAUAAAUAAAAAUCACAAAAUAUCACCUGAACAACAGCAAAAGCCGGUUCAUAUUUUUUAAAAACCCGAUCAGAUUUCCGCAGUGGACCCAGCACUUUAUACCCAAUCUCCGCCGCCUCCGCUUCCUUCUCUUCCAGCGUGUACUCCCUCCCCAAAUCCGGCACCGUAUCACCAAUCUCCUCUCCCUCGUAACUCUCAUCGGCAGUCUCUUCGUCUUCGUCUUCGUCCACGUCUUCCCCUUCGUCAUCGUUUUUGUUGGAGGAGAAAUGCCGAUAGUGAGACCAGUUAGUGGGUCCCAACGUAGAAGAAAUGAGGGACCGGUGUUGGAAUGGUGUUAGGCCUUUUAGGGAAAUUGAUGUAGAGAAAGGAAGUGUUCGGGGAGUCUUGAGUGAUAGAAGAGCCGCGGCGUGGCGACUGAGCACGUGGAGGCACCGUCGGUGAGCCAUGGCUGGGUGGUGGCGCUCACGGCGUUUGGCGUCACUAGGGUUUUAGUGAAAUAGACAAAUGUGCAGGCGGGGUUUUGGUUCUUUUGUUUUAAGUUUCGCUCCGUUAUUUGGUAUUGGGAAUGGGACGUGGGACAAUAACAUUUGGGCCCUGGAUUUUAGGAAGAAUCACAAACAAGGACUGAAUUUGUAUCUAUUUCGUGCAUAAAGAAUCCGUUAAACGUAAUUAUUCAACUCAUUUUACUCUUCUAACUCCUCUGCUUUCUUAUUGCUAGUGUAUGAAUAAGAAUGACAAUGAAAAUGAGAUGAAUGAAAAUUUAUACCACGACUUUUAAGUUAAAAUUGCACCCAAAAUCGGCCCGUUCUUUUAUAGUACAUUUCAACUACCGGUAAGUGCAUCAAAAAGAUCUUUAAAUUCGCAUCACAAGUAGCAACAGAUUAAAUUUGAGUUGUUCAAGAUAUCAUGUUAAUUUUGUUGCACCCUUCUUUUGAAUUGUAUGAAAAGGUUCAAAGAAACAAUUUUUUCCAUGAAUACAAACAAAACCCAGUGACAGAUUUUCGUUUAAAAUGAAAAUGAUAGAAAUGCGAAAAAGUAAUUGAGCAAAUCUUCACGCAAUGCGGCAAAAGCUAACAAGGAAGUGUUGAAUUUAACGGUGGACUCAAAAAAGUAUAAUUUACCAGGAGCCAUGCCGUGACAGUGAGCAACAAACGCAGUUCAAUUUUUGCCUUAAUUGCAAAGUGUGCAUUACAUCUCUGCAAUUGUGUAUAUACAACAUUUAUGGUAGAUAUAGAGUUUCCUACACAUGUGAACAAUGAGUCCCAAUGAAUGAAAGAAUCAAUGCUAAGGUGAGUAACCAGAUAUCAAAAAAUAAUACAGAAGACUGAACAGAAAGCUCAAUAAUUUGAUUCCUUCCAAAACAAACAUUUAUUUUUCUGAUAAUACUGAUGCCAUCAAGAGGUUUCCCAGGAUAAAUGCUAUGUAUAAAGAGGUAACAAACCAACAACGAUGCCACAAAAUAGAUCAUUUGAAAAGCCUGCACCGCCAAUGGCCAAAGGUAAAAGGUAAGUAGUAAUUGUGUCUUAUGUCAUGCCCAAUGGUAAUUAGUGAUUAUAUCUUGUUGCCAUAAGGUUGCAGUACAUAACGCGAAGAAUUUUAUCUCAUCCCUUAAACCUCCUACAUAGCUAGCUAGACAGAUCAGACAAAAGCUGAUUAGGGAUUUGCUGACCCACACUAUCUAUUUCAUCCCAGACGAAAGAUGCAUUACCUCUCCAAAUGCCGCCGUGCAAGAAAAUUAUGAGUAGCAAUUAGCAAAUAACCCAUCUGUUUCCCUAAAACCUAAUUACAUAGCACCUAUGUAAAUAUGCGUUCAAAUACGCAAUAGUUAUGCAGCGAAAAAUGAGAUAAAAGUUGUAGAGCAGAAACAACUUUACAGAGCCACAUCUUUUAUCAGAAUACAUCAAUGAGAGAGGAUUUCAUUGAAAGUAAAACGAAGGACAAAAGGAAGUUUGCCUAGCAGAAAAUGAACUGAUGCUGAGCAGAGGAAGAAAAAUUGUUAAAGCAACACAGAAACAGAGGCAAAUCCAAGCACCCAAAAGGGUAUUCAGUCAAAACUUAACAUGGGCAAAUGACUAAGAAAACAAAAACAAUAACCAUGCAGGUGCAGGUUGGGCUGAAAAUGGGACAGAGGUAAACAAUUGGUUACCUAAUUUAGACAACCAGGAAAACAGUCUUAUUGUAGAAAAAUGCUUCUGCAUGCAAUUAUAUGUGCAUUUCACAUAGCAAGUAUGACAGUUCAGUGUAUGUAGCAAGAAAGAGAAAAAAAAAUACAGAUAAGGAUGACAUAUACGUGUACACAUAAAACUAAUAAAAGCAACAGCUACCUGAUCAUUCAUGAUAGCAACAAGAUCAUUAGUAAAGCUCUAAUUACCAAGAAUCCAAUAUGAAAUAUAAUAAUCCUGUUUCAUGCAAGUUCUUAAAACAGAUAAACCCAAAACACAAUAUUGAAGCAAAAUGUAAGUAAUUACCUGAUGACAGUACACAAUUUGCACCCACCUCAAGGUGCAUGUUGAGGAUUUCUCAACUUCAUGCUCUUCAAUAAAGAAGCUAAUCCGCUAUAUUUAAAUCCAAAAGAAGUUUCACAAUACAACCAUCCUUCAUCUUUCUUUACCACUGUUAUCUGAGCAAGAAAUUGCUCCCUGUUUUUCUCACAUCAUACAAAGUUGUGUAAAGCAUCGGUGCCUUCAUAGCAAUUAACUGACUUAAUACAAAGACAUGCUUUGCUUACUUUUACACUCCUAAAACUAAAAGAAGAGAGCAGAUAAUGAUCAACACAAAACAAAACUAAACCGACAGCAAGCAAUAUCCAUAUUCACUGCCACCACAACUAAAACAACGUAAGCAAUCAUGUUGAUUCUACCACCGCUAGACUUUCAUAUUCACAAAUAUUCAAUUUUCUACAAGCUUGCAGUUCUAAACUACACCACACAUAAUUUCUUCCACAACAAACUAAAUCAGAAAACACAAAAAAUCAAAACAUUCAUUUUUAUCCAUAUUCACAUUCAAUAAAUUAUCAGAUAGAAUAUUCUCAUUACAGCUCUAUGAUUCAUAAUAUCAUAUGCACUGCCUACAAAUUUCAUAUUCAAAUUCAAAGCACUUCAAAUAAAAUCACUAUUGCAUUGAAGAUCAAAUUUUCAACCCGAAAAAGAAAAAGAAAAUGAAAUAACAUGUUAGCCCCUCCAUUAUUAAUUUAAUUUUCCUUUACAGCAUUGAGGUGAACCCAAAUUAUGUACCAAAACACUAAAUACUUACAAAAAGGGAAAAAAAAAUACUUUGAAAAAUUAACAUCAAUCAUACUUUUCUCUCCAAGAAUACACAAGAAAGAACACCCACGAGAGAGCCAAUAAGACAUCGCCAACUGUCUUCCUCAACCAAUCCCAAGCCAAAUACUCGACCCUUCUCUCAAAGUAAACCCUCCACGAAGCCAUGAAAAUGAGCAAAACUACACAACCUUUAGCAAAAAAGGACUGGAACUCUUUGUCCUUGACGAAAGACACCAUGAAGAUUAAAAACCCGAUAGCAAAAAGGAGCAGACCCGAGAAGGAAUCGGAGGUCCGGAUUAAGAGCUGAUCAUGCGGGUUCGAACCUAGCAGUUUGGUGGCGGUUUCCGCUCCGUGAGUCAACGUGUAGAUUUCCUUCAUUUUGAACAUCAUUAGGGCCCCACUUGUAAGUGCGAUCACAGAGUGCAGAAGGCAAAUCACGACGAACGCCCCGGAUGAUGACAUUGGUGACCUUUUUGAUCGAAACGGUGAUCAACGGGUCGCUGCUGUUGUAGACAUGUUCGUGCCAAAAGCACCAAGACAAGAAAUAGAUAAAUAAAUAAAUAAAUAAAACAACAGAGACCACACAACCUUCAAACUUUGGUUGCUUUGAGGGGAUUAAAGAUGAUAAUCGAGAAAGGUUUAUGGGCUUUUAUUUAUUCCGUUUUAUUUAUUAUUACUACAAUUUUUUAUUUUUUAUUUUGGUUUUCAGCCACGGCUUUGUUUCGAAUUAUCUUCUAUGGGGAAGAUUCUGAGGUUUUGACGUAUGCAUGUUGAAAGCUUCGGCUUAAAAAAAAGAUGAGAAGAAAAAUUACAGUUCUCUCCUCUAUUGUUGCAAAAGUAUACUUAUAUCCAAACUUUGAUCAGUUUCGCACCAAUAUCCCCUCAAUUUUGAAAAUAAUUACAAAAAAAAUUUAUUGUAGGCCGUUGCUGGAUUAUAUGUGAUAAUCAAAUUUUUAACUCUCAUAAAGUGGCUAUAACAAAAACUUAAAAGGGUACGCAGUAAAUUAUUAGCUGUCGGUGUGGUGAGAUCUUUCAGUCAAAAUGAUCGUUUAUGAUAAUUAACGUCUUCGUAACACCGUGUGGUGGGGGGUAUCUGUCACAUUGUUGAGGUUGAAGAUUUUUUUUAUCAUUCGGAUAAAAUUUUGGGAACACUGUAUUUUUGAAAACUUUCUGGAGAAGAAUGUAAUUUUCUCCGUCGAUAGGUGUCUAGCGGAACCCACAAAGAAGACAUCGGAUUAUUAAUCAGGAACAGACUGCGGUAUCUGGACACGUGGCAUGUUUUUAGUAGUGCCGACAGGCGUACGUUUGGCACGGGCCUUAUUUAAAUUUCAACGAAAUUUUUGGCAAACGUUUUAAGAGAAUCAAUGCUGAUGGUUUUUUUUAUUUAAUUGUUCAAUAAAUAUAUAGAGCUACUCAUUAAAAAUUAAGUUUAUAUAUGAGUUCAUACUUCGUAAUUUUAGCUGGACCCUCAUAAUCAUUGCAUCUAACCCAACAGAAUUUCGUGAAAAAAUUAGCCGCACUGUGAUUUUUUUUUAUAAAAAAAACUCCAAAUAUAAAUAUAUAUAGAUAUAAAAAUUAAGAUCUUAAAUUUAUUAAAAACUAAGAACCCUAUUAAUCCAUGUGACUUAAUAAUAACCAUAUAAUUUAAUAAUUUUUUCAUACUUUAAUAAAAUUUAGAAUUCUACACUAUACUAAGUAAUAUAUAUUCCUAAAGUUCAAAUUUAUAAAAAAAAAAAUGAAAUUAGAAGAUCAUAUAGAUAGGAGUAAGAGAGUGUGAUAAAUUAAAAUAAUAUGAAUCUGAAGCUGAUCAUUUAGAAAACAAGAUAUCAACAAUAUUACUCUCCUGAAUUUAAGUGUAAAUCCUUACAUUUCUGCGUUCAAGGCUUCAAUUAAGCUGGCUUAAAUUAAAACAGUCAUCGGAGUGUGUUUCUUUCUAGCAUAAUUAUGGUUUCAUUAGUUAUUGUUGGUGUCAUAAUUGUGACAGUUCCUAGUCAAUUUUGUGGCCAUCUUUUUGCCACCCAACACAAUACAAGAACAGUACAGUGUCUUCGCUUUUCAAGAAAUGAAGGAACUUCUUCGACGACAAAUCAAAUUCGUGAGCUGGAUUCUUAUUAGCCACGCUGUCACCUGAAAGACUUUUUGUAUAUUGGCUUUGCCGCCAUUUCCCCAGGCAGCGCAAGAUGCGUUAUUCUUGAUGCUGGAAAAAUAAAACCAAGGGGAAAAGGGAAAUUAUUCAGAAUAGAAUGGAUGAGUUUUCAUUAAUAAAUUUUAAUGAAGAAGGGACAGCCUUGUAAGUAUUGAACAGUUGAGCACUAAUACAUUUGUUACUACAGUGAUGAGAACAACAAAGUGGGUUACCACAUCUAGGUAAUUUUGAGGCAACCCACAUUAAAAUUAUUCGGAAUUAUAAUGUGUAUAAAUAUAUACAACCAAAAAAUUGAAUACCAAUAGCAGACAACUCCAGAAGUAUGAAAAAAAUUUGAGAUUUCAGUCUCUGUGGAGAUAAAACUACGACCAUUCGGUCACCUUCCACAAAUGUCCCAGCCCCGUGAUGAAUUCUCGAAGGGGUAGGAAAAAGAAUGAAGAUUUUUUUUUCCUUUCUUUCUUUCUUUUUUUUCUUUUCGCUGAACAAAAUUUUUUUUUAACUUGAAUCAGUGUCCCUGUCACUGCUAAUGGUUUUGCGAUGACGCCUCGAUGCAGACCUCCUGCUCCCACGCCUUGGUGAGACCUUCCUGGUAGGAACACGUACAACUCUUUCACCAGUAGUUUCCAGUGGAAAUUUCUUCGGCAAGUCACUAACCAAGGCUGGUGGUGGUGGAGCUUCAACAGCAAGAGAGAGGCGUGGGGGCUCAAGAUCAACAGGAACGGGCGGCGGAUUUGGAAGGAUGUGAUCUCUAUGGUAUUUCUGCAUUGUAGCCAAAGCAACAGAACAAAAUGACCAAAAACAAACAUAUAAUAUAUAAAUGAAGAAAAUAAGUGGAUGAAGAAAAAUUUUAUAUUUCAGUUUGAAAGAAAUCACCUGAACUACAAAAUUCCGCCUUUCACAAUCCAAAAACAUAUUGACGGUCCAAUUUGUCUUCGCCCAGAGCUUAUCCCUCACGGUUGAGAAACUGAUUUGGUCUCGGGAGGUAAAUCGGUCAACUUCAUUAAACCAAAGACAGACAAAGAGGUUGCUAAUAGGAACAUGCUCCCUUAUUAUCACACAUCCUUCAGGAACAUCUACAAAGCCAACCAAAACAGAAACUUUAAUCAGAGGCAGAACAAAAGGCAACCGGAGAAAGAAAAAGGAGAUCAAGGAUCUUGCACCUACCACUUGUAAUCGGAAGCUUAGCCUCAGAAUAUGGGGUCAAACCCUCAUUUUUAUAAAACUCAAUCUGAAAGUCAAUGGAUGCGUUAUCAUACUUCUUAGCAGCUUUAUUUGCCUCGGCUUCCACCAAGACAUCGAACCGUUUAUAAUGUCUAGAGAUUGCAAAAGUGGCAUUCUUUCUCCACAAGUGCCUAAAGAAAUUGCUCAAAAAAGGAAAAAGGUUAGAAACAAACACAAUUAUCCUGAAAGUAUGAAAUUAAAACAAAACAGUAGAGCUUCAUCCAUCCAAUGGAUGCUUGCAUCAAAAUUAUACUGAGCCCUUAACAGGUAAAGAAUCCAACUUCUUAUUAUGACAUCCAUAAGCAGAAGACUUGAGAAAAAUUAAAAAGAAUCAAGCAAUCCAACAUUGCAUUUAUCAAUAAGAUGUACAUUCAUUAUCCCAAGCCCUUUUCCCCCACAAAUAAGGAAAAAAAAAACAGAAAUAUUUUCUGUAGCCACGUCAAUAUACAAAAAGUCAUUUAGUUUAGUGAGCAUGACAAAUUUGUAAGAAUAAAGCCAAAAGAAAAAAUUUCCAAGCUGAGAAUAUAUAGGAUGACAUCAACAGCUGCAAUUAAGUAUUUAAGGACUAAUUAACAGGUUGAGAUUGUGGUCUGUCACAAAGCUUACCACUGAGUAGAAGUAACCAGUUAUUAAGGCCCAAAAGUUUAACCAAACCAAGAAAAGAGACAAUAUCAGGGUUAUAUCUCGACAUCAUUAAUUUCCUCUAAUCACUACAGUUGAAAGUUCCAAAAAAAAAAAAAUCAGUAAACUAAUAAAAGGCUGUACCUUUCAAGAAUUUGAUAUGGAUCAACAACGAGCUCAAGUUUCCCAUCAAUCCAUAAAGAAAAGCGGGCAUUGGGGAACAAUCUAUGUGCCAGAAGCUUUGGAAUCUGAGAUAAGGAAAACCUGAGUCAAAAGGCACAUUAAAAUAACACAACUUUUGGGCAUAAAGCCCGAUGAUCCUAAUUCACAUGCUUGGAUAGGGCAACACCAAUCCUUAAGUAAAAAUUUUCUCUUGAAUAUGAGAAAGUUAGUAACUUAUAGAGCCAUCUAGCUAAUCCAUUCACAAAAUCAAACAGAGAAUAGUAUACAAUUAUUAAAUGCUAUUUGUGCCAUAUACAAUCAACUAGACAGUGUUUUAGCCAAACACCGAUUUUAAUAUAAAGCAGAGAAAGGCCAGAUCAAAACUAAAAAUGUUACCUUUCCAGUCCGCCUAGCAUCAGAGUAAGGAGGAUUAUGGAUAACAACAAUUCUCCAUAUCCCUAUUUUCUUCGUCCUAUCCAAACCACUGUUAGCUUUGAGAUAUGCUUCUGUUUCUUCAUCAACAAACAUGACAAAGCAUACAGUCUUCCUGGAAUAUUCACUAAUAUUACUCGGCUGGUUUAUGUCAUCAAAAGCCCCUGGAAAAGAAUAUAAUCAUUUAAUAAGCUAAUGCCAGGUUAUAAACAAGAAAUGAACAGUUAAAAGUUCAACUAAAGUUGAGCUGUACCAAAAAUUGCUGAUACAACAACAAUUCCAUGGCAUUGUUCCAUAUCAAGAAUGUCCUCCUCGUCAAGGUCAUACCCCGUUCCACGGCCAGGUUUUCCUUUGACAAACCUGAUUGAUACAAAAUCAACUCAUUUGAGCAAGGGGUCAGGAGAAAACCAAGUAGAAUGUCUUACUAAUGUGGAUAUUUUAAAAAAAAAAAAACUAAAAACAUAGAAGGUAAAGUUUCAAAGGAUAUAGCCACACAUACUCAUAAUUUUAACUCAGUAACUACAAUUAAUAAAAAAAGAAAAAUCAUACCCACAGUGCACACUCAUUGACUCUCUUAUAUCAUAAGAAUUGUUUCUCUGUGCUAAAGGAGGAUAUCCACCAAAGUCCGAACCUCCAAAUUCUGCCUCUCUAUUUAACACUGGCUCAGUGAUGUAAGUCAGAUUCUUAAGUACUGGAGAAAAUGAGGGGACCUUUGGCAUUAAGGCAAUGGCUUCUUCCACGGGAAGGUAACAUACAGGACAUGCUGAAAGAUAUACAUGCAGAAAAACUCAGCACUCAGCAGCAUAUUGACAUCAAAGUAAUUGUGAAGUACGUCGUUGCUGCUGCAUGAUCCUACCAUUUUGGAACAUAUAUGGACUAUUUUGCAUUUAUGCGCAAAUGUCCAUAUGGCAAUGGUAAACACAAAAAAAAAAAGGGAAAAAAACAGUAGAGCUUACGCCUUGGUCCAGUCCUCUUUUUAUCUGCAGGUGGGGGAGGUAAAGUGAAACUGUUACACGGAUGCCCUGGAGGAAGAGUGUAGCCCAGAAAAUAUGAAGGAGGAGGAGGGGGGAAAACUGUACUUUCAAUUGGUCUCACAGAAACCAUUUUAUCCAUUGCCUCAACAGAGUUUGCUAUAGAAUUUUGACUCUCUAUAUUGUUAAAAGAAGUCUCAUUGUACAUCUUCUUAGUUUGCUCUCUGUAUAUUGGAGAAGAUUCAGAAUAGUUUAUAGACAAGCUAUCAUUGAGACGCAAGUUUGGGACCUGGUCACCUUCCUGUGCAUCUUCACCUGAAAUUGUGCAAAAACGCAUAUAUUACUUUUGUUAUUAGAUUGCAGCUGCAUAUCCAAAACAAGAACACAACAAAUAAGGCUUAAGCACAGACGGCACAUGGUUGAGAGCAUAGUAUUCAAGUCAGGCAAUUAGUCUCAGAAUUAAUAACCCAACUAUAAAAUGGUCACUAAUCUCAGAUUUUUGACAACAGCAAAGCCCAAAUAAAACCCACAGACGGCAGUGUGAUAAACUUAGCUCAGCGUGAGCACUACCAAUAUAAUUAAGCAUCCAUUACAGCCUCCAAAUCUAAGCAUUGUCCCGAAGAAGCAUAAUCCUAAUUCAAUUAAGCAAGCGUACUUUUCUGCAAAACCUCAUAAAAAACUUUAACUAAAAGAACAUAUAAGCAUCCAUUACACUUCAACUAUCAAUAUUAAACCAAUCGAGCAGCAGAUUCAGAUUAAAAAAAAAAAAAAAAACAACAACAACAACAAACCUUUGCCAACGUACAAGACCCAAAGGAAAACCGCCGCAGAGAUGACACAAAGGAGCAACAUUCCAACCUUCUUGCGGCCAGCAAAUUUACAGAUCCAAUACAGCAAUCCCUCCUUCUCUUUGAACAUCUUUGAAGGCUUAGUACGUGCCGACGUUUGCUGAACUGGCAACAAACUUCCACCGUUUUGUAGUUGUUUAUCCAAGGACCCAUAGCUACCAGAACGAAUCCCCAGUGACCCUCCUCCACUCAUUCUCCUUUAAAUCUCACGCACACUCCUCUCAUUUCACUCUCAUUCAAAGCCCAAAACUUAACACAAAACUCAUCAACUCAAAAACUCUAGAUACACGAACAUGACCAAUUCAGUUGCUCAAAAUAUGAAACACCCACUUCACUAAAUCUGCCCUUUAACCUCUGGGGCAUCUCCAAAGCUAAUCAAAUUCACUUAAACAAUCACAUCUAAAUCAAUCCAGUUUAAAAAAAAAUGUUUUUUUUAGCCUUUUUGGGUAUUUGGUUCUAAAAAAACAAACUUUUUAGAAAACAGGUACUGAUUCAGAACUGCAACAAACACAAUGAAGCUUCAGAUCAAAGAAGAUAAUGCAAGUACGUGAAAAGUUUCUGAAUGAGUUGAAGAAACAAUUAGUACUUCAAAAUUGAAGGCAAAAACACACAAUUGAACGUUUAGAUCAAAAUGAGUAUCUUUACGCAGAAAUAUUUGUUUAAACAAAAAAAUGGUUUCGAUUAGCUAUACAAAAUUUUCGGCUGAAAUCAUAAGAAGUUUGGUGAAACAACGAUUUUUCUUUUUUAACAAAAAAAUAAAUAAAUGGGGAAGUGAUCGAAUCUGGUAAUAUAUUUUGCUAAUUUUGAGGAUGUUACAAAUGACAAAUUAUUGGUGUAAUUUUUAUAAUAUAAUGGGGAAAAUUAAAUAUCAACGUGGAAAUAUCUGAUAGGUUUAGUUAAAGCCAUGUGCGCGUGAUGUCAAAAAUCAGACGGUGAUGGUUAAAUCCAGCUGAUGUAAUUAAAAAAUGUGACCUUUAUUUAAGACAGAGACAAUUGCGAAUGAGAUAAUCACGUCAUUAAUCGAUUAGCUCAGAAGUCAGAAAAAUUAGAAAUUGCCGGACGAUGAAAAACAUUAGGCGACUUCAUCUUCAUGGAAUCAUGGCUCGUUGUCUUGAUGAAUCUGUGUGUUUUUGGAUUUGUUCUAAUCUUAUCUUUUCUUUUUUUUUUCAGAACGAAGAUAAUUAUCAUACAAUUACCUGAAUUUAAUUGGUUACAUGAUUAAAUAAAUAACUUAUUUUAAUUAAUAAUGCAUGUGUGUAUAAAAAAAUUUUAAUUUAGUAUUUUAAAGUGUGAAAAAGUUUAGAAAAUUUUUUAAAAUCCUAUGGUUUUAAAAUUAAUUUCAUAAUAUAUUUAAAAUUAUGUAAUUUUAAAUUUUUUCCUAAUUUUUCCGUAUAUUAAAAUUUCAUAUCAGAAAACUAUAUAUAUAAAAAAAAAUUCAAAUAAUUUGGCUUAGGGUAAGCCCCUUUUUUUUUUUUAAAUCUAGUAAGUAUGAAUGUGUUGCUAUGUCAAUGUCUUCAUUUCAAUUCGAUGCAAGGUGUCAUAAACACAUGACACCCCACUAACAUAAUUUCAUUGAUUUUAAGAGAAUUAAUUUAAUACCAAAUUCAGCAUUAAAAUUUUGUAUGGAAUCAUUGUCUUCAUAUAAAAGAGUGGGUCAAAUAUGAGGAAAUAGAGAGUUUGCCAUUGUCUCAAAAGCAACAAUAUUUCUCCUUCAAGAUUUAUUAAUGCAUUUAUCAAAUUUCUAUGAACAACUUUCCAAAAAAAAAAAAAAAAAAUUGCCGACGUUUACAUUAGAAAAGGGCAACGAUUGAUUUUGCAUACGGAUUAGAACAAUAUAAAGCUUGUUUUUUUUACUUUCCAGUCCAUACGUAACCUAUCAUGCCUGCCCAGCGAGCUGGUUCAUUUUGUAUGCAUAAAGAAAGCCAAUUGUUUUGUAAUAGAGAGUUAUGAUGAAAUUGCCUUUUAAUUGAUUAAGGGCCGUUUUUAAUGAUUAGCACUUGCACAUUUGUGAGCAACGUUUGAAGAAUAAAAGAGUUGAAUUAUUUUGACCAUUAGUCUAUUUCCAUAUUCAUGCACUAUGCGUAAUAUUCAUGGAAGAAGGUGGACCUUCAUUUAAAUUAAUAAUGGACUAAAUUAUAAGGAAUGUUUCCAUGUGAUGACACUUUUUUUAUGAGUUGUGAAUUUGAUUAAAUGGACUAAUCUAAUUGGGGUACAAAUAAGAUACGAGAUUACUUGUUAUGUAAUGUUAUAGAAAUAUUAUCAACAAUUAAAAUCUUUUUUUAAUAAAAUUAGAGACGUGUUCGUUGUUCUCAAACAAUUAACAAGUAACAAUCACAUGUUAAACUUAGCUUAAAAUAUGUAUAGUUCUUUCAACAAAUUCACAAACAACCAUAUGUUAGUAAUACCCAUAAUGCCUUGAUACGACGCUUCUUUCUAAAACAAGGGGAAGAAGUAAAUAAAUAUUUAAUAAAGUUGACAUCAAAUAUUUUGAUUAGUAUAUUAUACAUUGCUUUUAGCAUUUAAUAGUGAGAUAUCAAUAUCAAAAUCGUUAUUAACAAACAAUUACACGCUUCCUCCAUUGGUAUAUAUAUAUAAACAAAAAUAUUAUUUAGAUUAGAAGUAAAAUUUAACUUUUAUCCCAAAAAAAAAAGAAAGAAAAGAAGUGAACAUAAUUAUAAUAUGCGUAGUUAAUAAUAGAAUUAUCUUUUUUAGUAUGAGGGCGGCGUGGGCUUGCUUCAACAUUAUGAUUGAAUUUGGUGGCAACGACUUCUUAAAGAAGUAUAGUAUGACAGGCAUGAAAAUUCCGCGCACUUGCGGUUUACUUGUGCAUUUUUUAAUCAACUUUUCUUGGGUUCCAAACAUGAAUAUUCUUAAAAACCAAAAAAAAAAAAAAAACAAAAACAAAUUACACAUAUGCUCUUAUCAACCAGAUGAACAUUCCCUAAUUCCCUUUAUUCGCGAGCUUUCAAACGAAUCUUUUAAGGUUAAAAAAUAAUAAUAAUAAAUUGUACAGGUAAAUAGUUUCCUUCUUGACAGCUCACGCGCUUAAUAAUUUUGUGCGUAAGACUAAGAGUUCGAGUUUUAGUAAUUAUUGAGACUCAAUGUCCUUUCUAAUAGGAAUUUAUUUAGUUCUACUAUUAAGUUAGUUUUGUUUUUCGGACUCGAUGAAUGAGAGUCUUGAUUGACUUUUAGUUGUAAAAUAUCAGUAAAAAAUAUAUAUAAAUAUUAUAAAAAAACCAUAAAUAGUUUCCUCCUUGACAUAAGAAGAAAGAAAAGCCCAGAUUUAUUGAUGACGAAACAACUAGCAUAAUGAAUUAUUAGCUACAUCCUGUAUUUAUAUUAUUUAUUUUUGUGAUGGUGAGAUUUGAACUACUACUACUACUAAUAAUAAUAAUAAUUAAAUAAUAAUAAUGGAAUAAAUUUAUCAGUACAAAUAAUGAUUAAACACAAAGUGAUCCCCGAACCCGUCCUUGUCUUCGUCGUAUUGUGGUAACCGGAAUUGGAUCGAGAAUACACUAAUACUCCCCAAAUGGGAGGAGUCCAAUCCCCAAAUAUUUAAUUUUUUAGUAUUUAAAAUGUAAAUAAAACUUAAUAAUUUUCGAAACUAAUAAUAAUAAUAGUUGAUAAUAAAGGCAGUUUGGCGACAACAUUAGACCUCUGUAUAAAUUUAAAAAUUUCUACGCAUGAAAAAAAAAAAAAAAUGGGGGAAAUCAACUUAAGCUCAGGAAGAAGAAGAAGAAUAGCCGCAUAUGGCAAUAACAUUGAAAUCUCCAAAAGACUCUAAAGAAGAAGUGGAGAACAGCCACAGAACAUUCAUGAACAAUCUCAAGAAGAGUCUGAAGGGAGGUAAAGGUACGUAGUUAAAUAUAAUGUUCUGUGCAAUCGGCAACGGGAUUCGGCUGGCCGUCCAUGGAGGACUGUGAUGUCGGCAGCAAACUCUUCUACGAUAGGCGACAGGUAUUGAGUAAAAAAUUAUAAAUAAGGGUUACCUUACAGAUUAUUAUUUUUUUAAUUCUUAAAUUAUUAUUUAUUGCCAUCUUUUUUUCCCCUUAAAUAUAGUAGUUUAUUAUUUAUUAUUUUAUUGUUUAAAAUUUAAAAUUAUAGAUAGCAACAAAUAUAUUUAUUUUUACAUUUAUAAAAAGACUUGAAUCUCCAAAUUUAAAGAUAAGGUGAGAAAAACCACUCGUUCAAAGGCCAUUUCCUUAGAAGUGUGAGAGGAGUGGUUCGAAUUAAUUUAAAUUUUCUCUCUCAAAAUUGUUGACGUUCCCCGAAUAUUAAAGAUGAUUAAAAUCUAAACAGUGUUAUAUAAAAUUUAAUAUAAAUUUAUCUCAAUAAUUAUAUGAUUAUAAAUAUUAUGAGUAAUAAUCUCAUUUAAAACAAAAAAAAACAGAUGGUGAGAAAGUGACUAACCAACUCAAUUGAGGGGUGAUCGGCAAGAGUUGAACUAUUAAUUGGUGGGUAGCUUUCAUUUAUUGUCAUUAAUAAUUCUCUUAAUUAUGAAGGCGACUCCAAUGCGAUCGUGAUGUACUUAGAUUUAAAAUUGAAUCCAUUAUCUCUGAAAAGAAGUUUACUGCAUUUUGGCAAGGACUAAUCCAAACACCAACUCACAUAAUUUUGUUUUUUCAGUUUACACAUAGCCGCUCAUUUAAUUUUGCUUCGAGUGAAGGUUACCUAUUUAAUGAAGACAAUGACAAAACAGUGCAGGUUGUUUGAACAGCCUGUUCAUGCCCAUCCUUCAUAUAACAAGGGAAAUUUACGAAAAUAAUCAUAAAAUUUUUGUAAUUUUCACAAUUAACUCUCUCAAUUUUUUUCUAUCAACAUUAGCCAAACACACGCUUUUCUCCCUAAAUUAUCCUUCUUUACAAACAAAAAAAAUACUUGGUGCGACAGGCAUGUGUCGCACGAAGCAUUGGUGCGAUAGGCACCUGUCGUACGAAGCCUGGUGCGACAGGUUGCCUUCUAAGGUCGCAUGAAGCCUGGUGCGACAGGUUGCCUUCCAAGGCACCAACAACAUUCUUAUUCUUCUUAGUCCUUUAAUUUCUCUUUCAGUCGUAGUUACUCUUCCAAAACUGUACAAAGUAAUAUGCAUUUCCAUUCUUUAAAGCUUUGAUCUUUCACUUUGUUUCUUUAAGUAGUUGCUUUCUGCAGCUUCUGGAGCUUUGCUUGUUGCAGCCUGUCGCACCAAGGCUUGGUGCGACAGGUUGCCUUCCAAGGCACCAACAACAUUCUUAUUCUUCUUAGUCCUUUAAUUUAUCUUUCAGUCGUAGUUACUCUUCCAAAACUGUACAAAGUAAUCUGCAUUUCCAUUCUUUAAAGCUCUGAUCUUUCACUUUGUUUCUUUAAGUAGUUGCUUUCUGCAGGUUCUGGAGCUUUGCUUGUUGUUUGUUUGAUUUCUAGUCGCUUUUUACUGUAUUAUUCAUUUGGCUACUCAUUUGUGGAGGUCCUCUUCAGGUUCAUAUAAUGAUACAAUAUCAUUAGUCUUGGAUUUUGCUUACUUUAUUUAUUGAAAAUGCAUGAACUGAUUGUAUAUUAAUAUUUUUUGUUUCUGAUAUGGACCCACGUUCUGAUAUAAUUUCAUUUUUCAUUAUUUUUAUAAUCUGAACCUGUCAUUACUUUAUUUUGUCAUCAAACGAACUUGAUCACAGUUCUUUAUGUUCGGAUUCAUUUUCUACAUUUGAAGUUAUGCUCUUUCGCUUUAUUUGAUUAUCUGUUGUGAAACAUGCAAUUUCGAUUGCUCAUGGGGGAGUAUUAUCUCUGAUUAACUUUAAGAAGAGUUCUAGGAACAUGGCUCAACCUAUUUUUUAUCUUGUUAUUGAGCCAUUUUACAAAAACAAUUCCUCCACGACAUUGGUCAGUGUCACUUCGACCGUAAUCAAGGAGUACGACCCCGCUAGACCGAACAAUUACGAAGAUUACAUGAGAGAGAAGAAGAAGAAAGCGGUGGAUGCUAAAAUUAGGAGAGAACUGGAGAGAAGAAGGCAAGGAAAGGGAGAUGAGAGUGAGGGGUAGUUUGGUCGCAAAGGUUCUUUUAUGGCUAAUGUUGAUAGAAAUUUAUUUGGGGGGUUAAGAUGAAAAAAACUAAAAUUUUUAUAGUUAUUGGUGUAAAUUUUCCAUAUAACAUUCGCUUUUAAUUUCUGAUGUUUUUUUUGGUUUCAUUUUUAUUCUUGUUUUCCCAACUUGUUUUAUAAUAUGUCCACUAUUAGAUAGUGUAGGAUGUCAAUUGCCAACAAUAAAAAUCUUAAAAGUGUAACAAAAAAAAAAAAAUAAUAAUAAAGGGGGGGAAAAUACAUGCAAGCUUUCGUCUUUCGACAUAGAGUGAGGGUGUCGUACAAAAAAAAAACACUGUGGCGAAUGACACACCCCUCAAGAAAUGGGUUUAAUUGAGGACCUAGAAGUAUAGCUAUUAUUUUGUGGGCUCUAUCUAUAAGCCCAUACUUUUAUUCUGCAUGAAAUAUCAAAUUAUAUAUUAUACACACACAUACAUACGUACUCAUGUGGCAAGCACUCAAGCUGUGAUUAAAAUUAUGACAUUAGUAUUAUAAUUAAAUAUAAAUUAUGUAAUUAAAAAAUCAAGACUUGUAAAUUUAAUACAAAAAUUAUAGAUCAAAAUUGACAGUAAAAUAAAACAUAAAUUUUCAAAAUUAAAUAUAAUACUUGUAAAUAAGAAGUAAAAUAUGUAAAUUAAUAUACUACGAGUGAACAAAUAAAAGGCUUACAAACAUAACAUGAAACUAGUAAAUCAAUAUUAAAAUGCAAGAUAAAAAAUAAUUCUUAGAAAUGGAACACAUAACUUGUAAAUAUAAUGUAAAACUGUUAGAAAAUAAUCCCUUAGUGACAAUCGUCAAUUAGAAUCUAGCAAUAUUCAUGUUGUAUCAUCAAGAAUCAAUAAUUAAAUAUGUGGAAGCAUACAUAAAUCCAUAAUACUUCAUUAUUUUCUAGAGUCAUAUGAUUUGGUUUUCAAAUCAAUAUAUUAUCCCAGAGAAUCCUUUAAAAUUCUCUCUGCACUCUCUAUGAUAAUGAGAUGUCAGAAAAGAAUAUAAUGUUACGCGUGAUUUGGAGACCAUAACGACUUAUAUAAAUAACUUUCUUGAUAUCAUUAGAUAUUUCUAUUUCCGUGAAUCAUAAAAAUAUAAAUUACCCUUGAGUUUGUAAGUAUUAAAUGCUCACACCCUACUAGAUAAGUUAAAGCCCAAAUUAUAGAAAGCUUUUAUAAAUAACUUUUAAUUGGGUUUAACCUUAUAAGACAAUUUGUAACUGAGAAUUAAAGAUCCAACAAAAACAAGUAAAUUAUUAUAAAAACUAAUAAAUUGAUGUAUUGUUAGUAAACAAAACGAAAACUUUCAAAUAUAACGUAAAUCUAAUUCAUUAAUUUUAAGGGUAAAAUAACACAUAAAUUUUAGAAAUGAGACAUAGGACUUGUAAAUGAAAAAUAAAACAAGUAAAUUAACAAAACCGGUAAAAUGAUGUAUUAGUAUUGAACAAAAUAAAAACUUGCAAAUAUAACUUAAAAUUAGUAAAUCAACAUUAAGUAUAAAAUAAAACAUAAAUUUUAAAAAUAAAAUACAGUACUUGUAUAUGGAAGAUAAAACGAGUAAAUUAAUAUAAGAAUGGUAAAUUGGUGCUUACUAGUUUAAAAAAAAUGUAACAUAUAACUUAUAAAUCAAUAUUAAAUUUAAAAAAUAUAUAAAUUUUGCAGAUCACACCUAAAACUUAUGAAUAGAAGGUGAAUACGUAAAUUAAUAUAAAGAGUUAUUAGAAAAAAAAAUUACAAAUGUAAACUUAAAACUAAUUAUAUUAUUGAUUACCUUAUAGAUUUGCUAAUUUUAUAUUUAAAUUGAAUAAUCAUAGUGUGGGUUUAUGUAAUACUCGUGAUAUUUUAUUAAAGAUAUAAAACUUAUUCUCAAAAAUUGGAUUUUGAAAAACUAUUCUUUUAAAUAUUUUUCAAAGUUGUUAUAAGAUGAGACGAUUUUGCAUUCCUCUACACCUCUUCAACAACAGCCCUAUAUGAUCUCUAAGUAUAAAUAAGAAAUAAAAUGUAAAACUAUAAAAAAAUAUGCAUAAAACUCAAAAUUAGAUAUAAUUUUAUUCAUAUAUUAUAUAUGUAUCUAGUAAUAUAAGAUUAUUAUUUUUUUGGUUUGAUCCAUAUCAAGAUAAAUAAUUAUGCUUAAUUAACCGUGCAGUAAACAAAUACUAUUAUAGAAAAUGAAAAAAAAAAUGUUUACAAAUGUGCUCAAAUAGAUAUAAAAUUUAUAGUUAAAGCAAUUCAAUAAAAUUUAUCCACUUGCUUUCAAUGUUAUUUUUAUUUUUUUUUCAAUUGAUGAGUGUUUCUCUUUGUUUAAUUAAAGUAAACAAAUAAACUAUUUUUUCAUUCAAAUUUUAUAGAGACCAUGUUACAUCAAUUUUAUUGAUUAAUAAUCUAAUAUUUACUUAUUAAUUUAACUUUUCAUUUACUAAUCUUAUAUAAAACUUAUAAAAUUUAUACUUUAGUUUGACAUUGAUGCUGUAAGUCUGUAAUUGUAAUCAAAAUUUUCGUUCCGGAGUCUGGAUAGUGGGUACACUCUCUCUUUUGCUUGUGUGUAGAAGCAAAAUUUGUACAAAGACUUUCUUGAUGUGCUGUGUGUAUCUACGUAAUUUGGAACAAAAGUCAAAAGGUCAAGACUUUUGGUUUUCCUGAGUGCGUGAAGCGGGCGGAGACUGGAGCUGAGAUUAUAAUUAAUAUGCAUCGCGGCCCAUUUGUUUUGCGUCCCCAUUUGUCAACCCUUUUUAUUUAAUAUGUGAAAUAACAAAUUCAAAAUUCACCCCGUCGCUGCCUGCGCGAUCUUCUUCAAAAAAUAAUACGACUUUCAAAAUAGCAUUAACUUUCGGCUGAUCAAAAUCUGCAUUCGCACUUAGCUUUAAUUUUCGCCAUGCAGCCUAUCAAAAACCCAAGAAAAAAAAAACAAAAAAGAAAGAAAUCUUCAUGCAGGAAGGGUUGUUGUUUUUUUUUUGGUUUGAACCACGAGGUGAUCCUGAGUGGGCUCCAACUGUGAGACGUACCUUUAAGCCCGUAUCACAAUCCAGACUAAUCCUUGUUCGCACCGGGUCGGCCCAUAAGGGGUAAAGUGCUGGCCAAAGUGGUGACUCCAUACGAGAGCGGAGCUUGAACCCCUGACCUCUCUUAAGGAGUGAGAGUGCCGAAUCACUCACACCAACCAACUUUAGUUCAGGGAGGGUCGUUGUUGAUGAUAUAAGAUCUGACAUUAACUCGUUAAUCUUGGACUUUUUUUUUUUUUUCCAGCAGAAGGAAAAAAAAAAUGAUUCUAUGGACUGAUCAUCAAUCAAUUAUUCUUGAACACCCCAAAAAUGUUUUUUUCAGUUUGAAUAAUUGAAUUUACUCAAUGGUGUUGAUGAGUUCUAAAUAUAUACUUAGAGAUCCAGCUGCUACCAGCCUACCACCAUUUUUUAUCUUUUGAACUAAUAGAAACAGUUAUCUAUAGCAUGCAAAUAUAUUUCUUUGUACAAGUUAUUACGAAAUGAAAUCAAAGAUCUGAUGAUUUUAACACCGAUCAAAAUGCUAGCUAGAGACAUGGAAAAUAUGGCUGCGAUAGUAAUUACUUAGACUUGCAUAAUUAAUUAUAAUUAUUAAGCCUCAAACACGAUUCAUUACGAGACAAGACCUCUCGCCUGAAAAAUUCUAUUUAUUUAAAGGUUCAACUAGUCAAUCACAAGAAGCCAACCACCAGGAGCUUUCAACUUUUCAACUUCUGAACUUAAAAAUAGAAAACAAACUGUUUAAGAGAACAAUUUUAAGUGAUCCACUACGUAUCUCUUGAAGCAGACUGUAUUCAUACUUUUUUAUUAUCAUCUUGGUCACCUUUUGACAAUCAUAAACCCCAUUUAUUGGCAGAUUACAUUACCAAUUUCCAGCCACUCGUGUUGCGUGUCCCACUCUGCUUUGCAAAAUUUCUUUUUUGUUUUUCAACUGAGAAUUUUUGACAUGUUUUAUUACUGUGCGGUACGCUCAAUAGUACUUGGGUUUAAAUAUCUAACAGAUUUUUUGUUUUUUGUUUUUAUUUUUUUUUAAAAUAUCUUACAGCCUUAUUUUCAAUGUUUCAACUUAUCUAACCAUCUAAAUUCUGGGUAAGCUUACGUUACAUUUUAUGUAAGAAACAUAACUGAUAUGACUAUUUAAUUGAUGUAAGUGCAACACGUGUUAAUUUGGGGGAGUAAUAAAAACUUGUUGAAACCGGAUGGAAACCAGUUGCAAAAUGGGUCAACGGUAAAGUCAAUCCCAUGCGUUUAUCAUUACAGCCGGUUGAAGGUAAGGCGGUAAUCACUGAAAAUUUUGAAAAGAAAGGAAAAAUUGGAAAGAGAAAAAACGCGACUUUUGAAAGAGGAUUAUUGAAGAAGCAACAGCUUGCUGCUGCAACUAAAUAUGCGAAAAUUUCAUAUAGCUUUAUAUUUGAUUGUAUUGAACAAAGGCUGAAAAUCGAGGGGGGAAAAAAAUGGUUUCAGAGUUCUGUCCAUUACUAGUACAUGGAGAAAUGACGGGGAGCUGCAGUUUCACAGGUUAGAGAGUGUUUGAAAAAUUUAUAAUAUAUUUCGUUAUUUUUUUCCGUUGGAAUAAUGAACUUGUAAUAUCAGCGAUUAAUUUAUCCUACUUGAAAGUCUUAAAUGGACCAUAUUCAUCAAGUGUUCGAUGAAAUGUCUGAAUAGCGUUAGCCCAGAAAUAUUUGGCUAAAAUUGAUGAAUAUAUUUGGUUAAUAUGAUGAAUAUAUGUGAGGUUUGUAUGCUGGUGAUUGAUUCUUCUGCUGAGUAUUUGUAGUUUGGUUUAUUUAUUAAUAUAAAUGAGGGUUGUAUGUCGCUGCUAGCUUCUGCUGUUGUGCAUGUGUACUUUGGUUUGUUUAGUAUCUCUGUUUUGAGUUGUUUUUCAGAGCCACCAUGAAUCAUGUUACGUUGUAGUUCUCUGAGAAUGAAGGAAAGAAGCUAAAUUACCUUCUUAAUUUCAUUUUUCCAUAACAAUAUUUUCUCUUCUUUUGGGUUCUGUAGAAUUAAUAAUUUUCUCCUUUCCUUUUAUUCUGUUCUCUCUGUUUUGGCAGAGUACGAUGAAUAAAUAGGAGUUAUAUAGAAUAUAUUCUAUUCUGUACAAUAUUUUCCCUUUAUUCGCGGUGCCAUUCUUUGUAAUUGUAUUUGUGCAGUUCGUACAAUUCAAUGCAAUGCCUGCAAUAUCUGUAAUUCAAAACUAGAAUAUAUUAAUCAGUUAACAAAUUGAAACCUUGAUGUCCUUGCUAAAUUAAGGGAAAAGUUAAAAUUUUGACUCUGUUAUUAGCAUUUACAGAAAUGGAGCGUCAGAAUAUUUUGUUUAUUUAGAUUAGGGAUGCAAUAAGAAGCAAGAGUGGGUGCGGUGCUGACAGAGCGCCAAUAAUCUUUCGAUACUUUAGUUAGUUUUGCUCCGAAGUUACAUGAUCCAUCACCAUUUAUGACACCUAAGAAUGAAAGAAGAGGUGCAUCUUGGAACAAAUGCAGAAUUGGAGAAGGUGAGAAAAAAAACUCCAACAAUGACGUUGGCCAUUGCAUAUUUCGUGAAAUUUUUUUGUUAUUAUCUUGGUUGAUAUGUAAUUUGACGGAACUUUUGGUUAAUGUCAAAUGUAGAUGUGUCAGUGCAACAAUUAGGAAGUUUGUGGGUUGUGUCCCAGCCCCAGGAGGCAAAGUUGGCAACUAUUUAUUCAAAGAGAAAAAAAAUUGCAGAACUAGAUGCACAGAAUGGAAGAAGGCAGCAUGGGAAAUGAUGUUUUUACGUUUAUGUGUGUAUAUUGUAGAACUUGUAUAUGUAUAUAAAGCUUUGUUAUGUUUUACCCGAUAUGUAAAUAAAACAUGGAGCUUCUUAUGUUAUGUCUGUUAAUUUAAGCAAUUUUUUUGGUCAAUUAGAAGUGUUAUAAAACUAUAAAUAUAUUGUAACUUGAAAUUUAUCAACAAUAUAUAUAUAUAUAUUGUAAUAGUUUUUAGGUGCGAUUAGAUUGAAUUAGGGAGUAGAUGCUUUAAUAAUUAUUUCAAAUGUUAUAUAAGUAUGAAAUGCGAAAAUAAGACUUAAAAAGAUUAUACUUUAAUAUCUUCUUGGACUACACUGUGUAAUUCGUAAUUUCUGCCACAUUCCAGCGCCUGUAGCUUCGAUUUUAUGGGGCUGCAAUUUUUUUGGUUUCCCUAAUUUUUUAUAUGAAAAAAUGAAAUAGGAAUUUGGUUAUCUCAUUUGCUGCUUCUGUUGCUUUCCUCUUUCAAAACCUAAUUACUGAACUUUCUGUCUUCAAUUUUCUGGAUUUUCCAGCGACCACUCAUCACUCAUCAUUUCCAUCUAAAAUUGUCUUUACCGAUUAAUCCCUUAGCUUGCUUUUUUCGACAACCAUUUUAGCAGGUAGCCAUUCUUUUGUUUUUAAAAAUGAAUUUCCAACCACUACUUGAACCUAAUUUUAGGUUAUAUUUCACCACACCCGUUGGAUCUGUAAAUUGAGGAAUCCAACGAUUCAUGUUCUCGGAAUGUUACUUACAUCAAAUGUAAGUUAAGCGCUGCCCUAAAUUCUAAUAAAGAUUUUUCUAGAGUGGCCGACACGCAGCCGAUUGCAUCAUCUCUGACCCUCUGCUGUACGUAAAGAUCAACCUCAUCACACUUACGUUUUAAGGUUUACCUUCUUCUAAAACCACCAAAAUAUCCUUAUAAAUGAACCAAAAAAAAAAAAGAGAAAAAACAAAAGAAGAUUAGAAACUAAAAAUUAAAAAUGUGGUCAUAAUUUAAACCCAUCUUUAGUUUUAGGUUUAGCAGCUUGCGUGCGUAGGAAAUUUCAAGUACAGCUCCAUAGCAGGCACUUUAUAAUUUUAAUUAGUAAUAAUCAAAGUCGGUGGGUUAAUCAAUAAUCAAUAAAUAAUUUAAGAAUUGAAAAGGGGGGCGUUCCCGGUACAGCGCCCAGCAAAAUAAAGGGGGGGAAAAAAAAAGAAUAAGAUAAUGUUGUUGAAGAUAAUGCAAACAGAUUUUCCAGUUGUUUUUUUCCUCUACAGACAACAAAGUAAUUUUAUUGAGUUUCCAGGAAGAUGAUUGACUGGUGCACUUGUGGUCAUACACUCACACUCAUGAAUGCAGCCAACCACUUUUCCUUUAAUAUGAAUCCGUCAGCACACCCCCCACACCUAAAAAUUCAUCAUAAACAUUUAACAAAUACAAUCUUUAAUUUAUCUAAGGGCUAAAAUAUAAAGGUGAAACCGCCCCAAUCCAUUAAUCCACAUAAAUAAUAAUAAUAAUAAUAAUAAUAAUAAUAAUAAUAAUAAUGUUGACCAAUGAAGUUUCAAUUCAAAGAAACUCUGGUCACCUUGCUAACUAAGACCUUUCUCUCGGACCUUCCUUCUCCUCCCUCAUUCAUCCAUUCAUUUUAGUUUCACUUGUUCACCCCCCAACCUAAAAUUGCACAUGACACAGAGGCUUUAGCUUCAUUUUCAUUUGCAAUGAAGAAUCACCCGAAACCUCUUCUCUUUUCCCUACUGUUAUCGAUUUUCCUAUCUUUUGAAUCCAUAUCAGCUGUUGAUUUCGUAUUUAACGGCUUCAAUUCUUCGAACUUGUCACUCUAUGGAACCGCCACCGUUGAGUCUCGCAUUCUCACUCUUACAAACAGUACAACUUUCACAAUUGGUCGUGCUCUGUACCCUUCAAAGAUACCAACAAAGAGGCCAAACUCCUCCUAUGUGUAUCCAUUUUCAACUUCCUUCAUCUUCGCCAUGGCUCCUUACAAGGGAGUUCUUGCGGGGCACGGCUUAGUUUUCCUUUUUGUACCGUUUAAUGGUAUCAAAGGCGCCACAGAAGCUCAGCAUCUUGGCCUCUUUAACCGCACAAAUGAUGGCAAUUCAAGCAACCAUGUGUUUGGUGUCGAGUUUGAUGUUUUCAAGAACCAAGAGUUCAACGAUAUUGAUGAAAAUCAUGUUGGGAUUGAUGUGAAUUCACUUACUUCGGUAAGUGCGCACGCGGCCGGAUAUUGGCCCGAUAAUCAAACAGAUAGCAGCGGCAGCAACAGCAACAGCAACAGCGGUACAGGCGAUGAUGAGAAGUCAUUCAAGGAAUUGAAGUUGAACAAUGGUAAGAAUUAUCAAGUUUGGAUUGACUAUGCGGAUUCUUUUAUCAAUAUUACUAUGGUUGAAGCAGGCAUGAAAAGGCCUAAAAGGCCUUUGUUGAGUGUUCCUCUUAACUUAUCUGGGGUUCUUGAGGAUGAAAUGUAUGUGGGGUUCACUGCAGCAACCGGGCAAUUGGUUGAAAGUCACAAGAUUUUGGCUUGGAGUUUUAGUAAUACAAAAUUUUCAUUAAGUGAAGAGUUGAUCACUAGCGGGUUGCCGUCUUUUGUUCUUCCGAAAGAUUCGAUUUUCAAAUCAAAAGGGUUCAUUGCAGGAGUAACAGUUGGAGGUCUGUUUAUUAUCGUCGCCGUUGUUCUGUUUUCUCUGUUUUUGAUUAAGAGAAAGCAAAGGAGAGCAAGGGAAAGGGAGGAAAUGGAAGAUUGGGAAUUGGAGUAUUGGCCACAUAGGAUAACAUACCAAGAAAUCGAGGCGGCGACAAAGGGAUUCUCAGAGGAAAAUGUGAUUGGCGUUGGAGGAAAUGGGAAGGUCUAUAAAGGUGUUCUUGAAGGAGGAGGGGCUGAGAUUGCUGUGAAGCGCAUUUCGCAUGAAAAUGAUGGAGGGACGAGAGCAUUUCUUGCUGAAAUUUCAAGCCUUGGAAGACUGAAGCACAAGAGUCUAGUAGGCUUAAGAGGUUGGUGUAAAAGAGAAAAAGGGAGCUUAAUGUUGGUGUAUGAUUACAUGGAAAAUGGGAGUUUGGACAAGUGGAUUUUUCAGUGCGACGGGAGUAUGAUGUUGAGCUGUGAAGAGAGAAUAAGGGUUUUAAAAGAUGUGGCUGCCGGGGUAUUGUACUUACACGAGGGAUGGGAGAAAAAGGUACUGCAUAGGGACAUUAAGUCCAGCAAUGUGUUGCUUGAUAAAGAAAUGAAUGGACGGCUAGGGGAUUUCGGUUUAGCCCGAAUGCACGGGCACGGACAAGUGGCCAGCACAACACGCGUGGUUGGAACAGUGGGGUACUUGGCGCCGGAGGUAUUUAGUAGCGGGCGAGCUUCGACUCAAACUGAUGUGUUUGGAUUUGGGAUCUUAAUAUUAGAGGUCUUGAGUGGUAGGAGGCCUAUAGAAGAAGGGAAGCCAAAUUUGGUGGAAAUGGUGUGGGAACUGAUGGUGCAGGGGAAAUUACUUGAUGCAUUGGAUGCAAGAUUGAGGGCUAAAGGAGGAUUCGAUGAGGAGGAAGUGGAGAGAGUGCUGCAUUUGGGGUUGUUGUGUGCUUAUCCUGACCCCAGAGCAAGGCCAACAAUGAGGCAAGUGGUCAAAGUGUUAGAAGGAAAGAUUGAGGCUGGUAUUGAGAAUGAAACUGAGGACAUGGAUGCAUAUUUGCUGCAGCAAGUGAAGUCUAAGGAUAUGUGGGCCAAUUACUCGCGAAGUUUCGGCUAUGGCUACGCAACACACCCAACAUUCCAUGAUAUAAGACAGUCGAAUUCGUAUUCAAUGUCACUGUCUUGGUCCAAUACGAUAAUGGAAGGUAGAUAGAGUUGUAGUGUACAUUAUCAGGGAAAAUGGAGGGGCAGGCAAAUGCUAUACAACUACAAGCGCUUCAUUUAUUUUUAUUAUUAUUAUUUUGGUUUAACAAAGGAAAAUUACAUCUUUUCUUUAUACCUUUAUGUGCGAUUAUUGGGGUGGUGAGGAUUUUAUAAGGGAGAUUAAUUAUUUUUAUUGAUUUUUGUUUAAUGAAUGCUUGUUUCUGUACAUAUGUGAAUUGUGAAAUGGAAACAGAGAGUUUACCAUAAUUGAAGGAUGAUAUUAGCUUCUAAAUCAUAUCAAGUUACUUUUUUCUCACUGCAUGUGAUUUUUGUUUGGUGAGUGGGUCUCUUACCGUUAAAACUUUAUUAUCGCAGUAAUCAUUCUGCCCCUCUCCCCCUCUCUGUUGGCCUAUUGCUGUGAAAUAAAGGGAUGCUUUCAAGAUGAUCGUUUCUUUGUUUCUUGAAUAUAUAAGGUAUAAAUAAACGGGAAUCACCAAGCGGGGAUAGCUCAGUUGGGAGAGCGUCAGACUGAAGAUCUGAAGGUCGCGUGUUCGAUCCACGCUCACCGCAAAUCUUUUAUUAUUUUAGCCCUUUUCUAGUACGGCUUAAGGCAAUUCAGUCCAAUUCAUUGUUCACCCUAGGCGAUAGCCCAUAAUCAUUACCCCCUUCUGCCCCAUUUGAUAUUUGGGCUUUGAAUGCAAAGGCCUAAUCACCAUUGCAUGGAUAGAGUGAUCCUACGGACACCCCUAUAAUUUCAUGGAAUGGAACGACCCCAUUUCUAAGUACACUUUAUACGUAAUUUUACAACAUACAUAUUUUGCAACCUUACACCUUUCAGAAACCCCAUUAUAGUUCCAAUAUUACCCUCAUCUCUCACAUCUCAAUUCAUUUUAAUGCCCUCCAUGAUAUUUUUUUUUUAAAAAAAGAAACUCUAGACGCCCCCAUCUUCUCUAAACAACAAACAAACCCAAGGCGCACAAAGCAUCUUCAUCGCUUAACAACCGCGGGCUGCCAUCGGCCAAAUUUCUAGACUAUCUAUUCAGAUUAUUCUUCUCAUCGCCAGAGAAGAGUAGUAGCUGCACCCGAGCCACAGCUAACCAACAGCUCUUGUCUUUCAGCUGUCAGUCGUCCCAUCAACCGCUAUCAGCAGUUUGUUUUAUGAUUUAUUAAAAACCUACCGCAUUCCAAGUGAUUUGUUUUAGUGAUUAACUAAAAACUUUUCAUAAAUUUAACCAUUCAAUUUAUAUAUAUAAAACACAUAAAAGUUGCAUGCAACCAGAGAAAGUUUUUAGUUGUAGAAGAAGGAAUAGGGCUAAUUUUAAAAUUUUAUUGGGAUAUAAAUUAAAAUAUAAUUAUAAAAUUUAUUAUAUGAGGUGAGGCAGGAAGAGGAUUUUCUUUAACGGUGUGCCAAUAGUACUGCUCUUGCAGAUACUUCAGUCCACCGUCCUUGACCGGAAGUCCUUUAAACUUGCCAGCCAUUAAUCCGUAAUUCUUCUCCUUGUACUAGAAAAAUUAUUGAUUAUCCUUUGAAUAUAAAUAAUAUUACAAAUUUACUCAUAUUUAAAAUAAGAAAUCUUUAGAAUGUCCAACUCUUGUGUCGUGAUCAGAUACCUAAGCCUAAAAGACUUUAUUUAUUUCUAAAUAUUAGACAGAGAAAAAUCCCCACAAAGACGAUUAUUAGAUUUAUCUAGAGCAUUAUUGAAGUCAUUAGACUAAUGUCGCCCAGCCCUAGAUGUGGAAUUUUUUUUUAUUUUCCAUUGUUUCGCAAUACUGAUUGUAACCCAAUACUUGAAAAUUCCAUGGCGGUGCUAAAAGUAGUUCUUCGAACUUCUGAGCAUAUCCUUUAAUUACAAUAAGCAGGACAUAUUUGAAAGAGUAAUCUUGCCAACGCUAUGUAGUUUUGUUUCUUCUCCUUUUAAAAGUUGUUUAAUUACACGCAUUAACAUUAAAAAAAAAAAAAAAAUUGGCCGUCACAUGCGUUAAACUAUAUAUAAAUUAUAUUUUAUCAAUCGUGACACGUUUAUUUAGCACUUUUAAGAAAUCGUGUCCACAGGCAUGGAUGGUUUCUCGUCUGUCUUCCUCCCUCAUGGUCACGAGGUUCAUAAAUGCGUUUCAAGUGCCCGACCAAUUAAUUGUUUACAGAGAAAUCAUAACUAAAAAUCAUAUUACAGGUGAUAUAUAGACAUGUGGCAACAGAAAAUAUGACCUCGUUCUGUGAUUUCGAUCCAUGCAGCGACGCACGUGGAAACCAUUUAUAGAAGGAGAUGAUCGGCAGUGACACCCCCGAGCGUAGAUGCUUUGCAGUGACAAGUUGCCGCACAUGAUCACUAGUUGUGAAAUCCACUGCAGAUCAUGAGCAUUAACCAAUAAUUGUCAGGAGUUCAUUUGGAAACUAUGACCGGAUUAUUGGGCAUGGCUGAAAAAAUCAAUUCAAACUAUGUAUGAUUUAGCUGUGGCCUGUAGGUAAUUUAACUUGCAGCUAACUAUUGGCUGGGCGGCCACAUGAAUCAUGUUAUCUACUUAAAUUCUAGACCUAACCUUAUCGGUUUGUUUCUAUUGAAGUAGUGUACGUACCUGUCAGGUGUCACUACUCUUAUCUGUCUCUUCUCUCUCCGUGGGUCACAUGUAUAUUACUGAUUAAAUUACAAUCGGUGAAAAAAGUAGGGUGCCUGCUUAAUUAUUCGAAUCAAAUUAUCAACGAACAUUGAAGAAGAAUAAUCAGUGAAGUACAUAUCUCAAGUCUCAGAGCAUAUUCUUGUGUCGUAUUUUAUUUUGUAUGGGCCGACUCGGUGUGAGUUAGGAUUAGUUUAGAUUGUGGUACGAGGUUAAAGGUGUCUUCCACAGUUGAGGUCCACUCAGGACCACCUCGUGGUUCAGACAAAAAAAAAAAAAACAAUAUUCUUCACAUAACGUAUGCAACUACCUUAACGAACCAGUUUAUAUUAUUAUUCAUAUUUUUCUGCUCCCCAGAUAAUCAAUGAAGUGACAAUCAAUGAAGAUUAUUAGUUUAUUAUUCACAUUUUUCUGUUCAUACCUUUCUUUUCCCAACAUCUAAUGAAGUAUGCAACUACCUUAACGAACCAGCUUAAACAAUAACUAUACGUGCAAGAUUAUCGAAUUGUAUUCUGGCUGGUGUUUUCAUUAAAUUAAGAAAGCAUAUUCUGUUCGUGUCCACAUGAAACUGGACAAGAAAUAAAUUUGUAUUACGAGUAAUUAAGAGAUAGAAAAGAUAUACUCGCAAUGAGUUUUGAUUUCCACCAUCUUCAUUAUUUUUUUCCUGAAAGUUCAGUUGAUAAAUCUCCAAGUAUAGGAGCCUUUAGGCCUAUAACUUAUAUUCAAAAACUAGUUCAAGAGCUAAUGGUUACCAAAUUCUUACACGCUUAAUCCGAUAUUUAUUCUAUUCAGUUGGUGUGAAAUAUUGUUUAUACCAUUACGUGCAGUGGUUGGGUAAUAUGGGCACAUGUGUUUUACUUUGAUACCGUAAAAACUUUUAUGAGACAAUUAAUCUAGAGUAGAUAUAUUAAUCUAACUCUUACUGAUUCAUGAAUAUAAAAACUCAAUUUAUACUAGCACUUGAAACAUAGAAAAGGAAACGAUACAAUUAAAAUAGUUUUGUAAAAAAUUAUUGAUCAGCAAAGACAAAAAUCAGUCGAUUUUUAUAUUGAUUGAUAAUUAAUCUUUCUUAAUUAAUGAUUAAGACGGAAAUAAUCAAUUAUUUAACUGACUGUUUUAUUUCUAUCAAUUUUAUUUGAUUGUUAUCACCACAGUAAUUAGAGACAUUAAAUCAUACAGAAAAAUGACAACUAUAACAGAAAUUAUUAAUAAUUAACUUGGCGAAGGUGGGUUAUCACAAACUCACCUCCAAGUCAGUCCGCACGUAAAAAUGAGCUGCAGCAACUUGAUUGUUUAAUUUUCACGAAUACUCGUGAAAUGGCUUGUCGCUUUUAACUCUAAUUUCAAUAAUUGAAUAGUGGAAGAUUAAAGAAAAUUUUGAUGGAUCUGGCAGGAUCCGCGAUGGUUCUCGAUGAUGAGGUUAGGUCGUUUAAGAUAAAAGCACAUGUUUAACACAUGUCAUUUAUUAUUAUUUGCUUGACUCAAUAUUCAAAACACCAUCCCCACUACAAGUUCGAUCAAGUUCAAGAUCAAGUUGGCUCAUUAAUACCUGCAAUAAGGCACAAGUUGUUUACAUCUGACUGUUUCCUCUAGUUGAUAAUUACUUAAGUAAUAAUCAACUGCGAUAUCUACAGCGAGCUGGAAUACUAACUAGUCAAAUCCACGUGGGUGUCAACUUGUUAUCAAUCUCCCCUAUCGCACGUGGCCAGCUAGCUAUUAACUAGUCAAAAUUGCCAUAAUUAAUUUAUUUUUGAGGAUUUUGUAACUCACGGAUGUAUAUUUAUUAAAUGAGGUUAGGUGUUAACAUCGACUUUGAUCAGAAAUGGUGACUAAACAUCCGACCCAUAUUGUUUGCAUUAAAGAAAACUUGGUGACAUCAAGACAAAAAAUAUCUUCAAUCAAAACGUGGAUUUCAUUAAAAAAAAAAAAAAUGCUAUGAAAUUUGAUCAGAAGUUUGUUCACUUGUCUUGAUUUUUAUUAUUUUUAAUUUUCAAGUUGAUUUACUAAAUUCUCCCACUUCUUAGUUAAAAAAAAAAAAGAAAAAGAAAAAAGAACUCCCACUUGAUUUUUUAACUCUAGAUAAAUUGUGAUUCUAAUGAUUGUAAUAUUAGUCAUGUUAUAUAUACCGACCAGAAUUUUGUCGUGACAAGAAAAAAUGCCUAAUUCAUGUGGAAAGUUGACUUUGGCACUAGAAAUUCAAGAAGCGUAGGCUCGGAAAUGUUCCAGUAUCCUUCAUUGAGUUACGUGGAAAAGCUCACUACUAAUGUAAAUAUUAAUUUCCUUUUUUAUCACCUAGGUUAGAAAAAUAGUUGACACGAACCUUUUAGAACAUAUAUAUAUUUAUAUGUAUUUUUUUUUUUUUGUCUUAUUCACGAGGUAUCUUAGAGAGGGCCCCAAUUGUGGGAGGUACCUUUAAACCCGUACCACAACUCAGAUUAGAAGUUCCCGCUCGAACCGGGAGGCACAAGUUCCCUCAACAAAGGCGACUUCUCUGUGACUCGAACUGGGGAGCAAAUCCAAUCAAACCACUUAAGGAGAUUUCAUUACCAGUGGAGCCAAUACUUUAUUAAUAUAUUUAUAUGUAUUUCUUGUUAAAAGUAUACUCAGCAAAAAAACUCCCUUAAUAAAAAUAAAAGUAUAAGUUGUUUUGUAUCCAACACGAAUGCCACCUCAGGAUUCGUGAUCCAGUAUGAAGGACUCCUCCAGUUCAGGAUUGAAUCCAACAAUUAUUGAAUCAUUCAAAUGACAAUUUUGCACUCCAUUGUGUCCACUUCGGAUGUAAACUAUACCACCAGUCGUCGUUGGAAAAGAUUGUCUUGGUGCACAGAAAUGCUUUAAACCAUUGGCAAGACGCCGCGUUUUCCCGACAAUCUUUUCUGCCACGUUCCUUUUAAAAAUUAAAAUCAUUAUACCCUCGGCCAAAAUUCAACAAAACAUAAAACAAAAUCAAGACUCGUUUGGUGAGGCUCCAUGCAAGUCGGUCCCACUUUUGGAUAAAACCUGAAAUCGCGCGUCCCUCAUUCCGCCACGUCUUAUCAUCGUAAUAAUCAUUUGGAUGAACAUCACUGUGCAUCACGUUAUGUUGGUCCCUCCAUUUCACAGGACAGGAAUCAGGAUACAGGAUAUAAGGAAACGACAUAUCACCUUUUAUUGCGAAUUUUAUAUCCCAAAAACAAAAGAAUAGAAAAGAAAGGAGAAUUAGAUAAUUACCUUAAAUGAACAUAAAUAAAACUUGGCAAGUAUUGGUCCCCUUAAUAAUACAUAUUAUGAAAAAGACAUUAUUAUGGUGAAUAUUCGAGUAUAUCCAGAUGAGUAUAGAUCAAAAUUAUUGGAUUUGACUGACGUGGAUCCUUGCUGUCUGACUUAUUAUAAGCCAAAAAUAAUAAUGGACUGUUUUGAUGUACAUCUACCAAUGGUACUGCGCCACGUCAGGAAGAGUCAGCCCUCCUCUGAUCGGCGGCUUGUUGGUCCACGUGUACAGAUAUGGGUCCCGCUCGCACCAAACAUUUUGUAUAUAAAGGAGACAUCAUAAAUCCUCCUAAUCCAAGCUAAGUCGACACAAGAAUAAUCCUGUUUAUCUGCAUAUAUAGAUACAUAAAGAACGUAAACUGUUGCAAUACGGAAACAUGCCAGGUGUUACAGCCACCAGAAUUCCAGAGAAACCACUUGGGAGCUUAUCCGACAUGUUCUUCGGGCUUCCUGAAGACGGCGAGCUGAUUCCGGCGGGCUUUACUAGCGUUACUUCGCCCGAAAACGAAGCUCUAGAUGAUGAUGAUCAUGAAGGCGAAGAUGAAGAAAAAGAACAUCAGGAGAGUGCUGAAGAAAAAAGAAACUUCUGGGAGUCACAGCACCAGUGUCUACAGUCAACGUUGUGCAGGACUAGCUCUUUGGAGUCGAAGAUUAGAAACGCUACUAAAGAAAUAUUGAAGGAGAUACAAUUACAAGUGGCUGCCGGCAAUAACGUCUGUGGUUGUGGGAGACGGCCGGUGGCUUCCGGUGCUUGCCGGAGUUGCUUGAUGAGAGAGGUCUCCGGACGGCUAGGAAACGCUGGUUAUAACAGUGCCAUCUGCAAGUCCAAGUGGAGAAGCUCUCCGGAUAUCCCAUCAGGUGAGCAUACAUUCAUGGAUGUGAGAGAUAAUUCAAGUGCAAAGAAAGGGGAGGUGAGGGUGAUCGUAGAGUUGAACUUUAGGGCUGAGUUUGAGAUGGCUAGAGCAAGCGAAGAAUACAACAGGUUAGUCCGCCGGCUGCCGGAAUUAUUCGUUGGAAAAGUUGAGAGAUUAAGUAAUGUGAUCAAGAUCUUGUGCUCUGCUGCCAAGAAAUGCAUGAAGGAGAAAAAGAUGCACAUGGGUCCGUGGAGGAAACAAAGAUACAUGCAAGCCAAGUGGCUUGGCGCAUGCGAAAGGACCACAUCUGUGCAAAAUUUAUCGAUGGCUAGUAAAUAUGAUCCUGAUCGAUUGCCAAAGCCAAGGGCAUCCAUGCUAACGGUAGAUUUGUUAGAAAAGUUGCCCAAUAUGCACUGUACAGCCGUCGAGGUUGUGUGAUUAUAUAUAUAUAUAUAUAUAUAUAUAUAUAUAUAUAUAUAUAUAUAUAUAUAAAAAGGUAAGGAGGUGGGCAAGUCCAAAUAUAAUUUUUUUUUUACUCCUUUACUACUCUCAAGAAUCGAACUCGGGUUUUAGUAAAGGCUAUAACUGCACUGCAACCGACCCGACCGCACCCUUUGAGGCUUGUGUGAUUAUUUUUAUUGUUACGCAAAAUAGCUAGAUUUUGCCGUGUUCAUUUCUUGGUUUGUAAGUCCUCAAGGGCCAAAAUUAGUUUUAUAUUUGUAAAAUAUUUAGAGUGUGGAUAUGCGAAAGAUGGAUCGAUGGAUCGUAAAUUACGAAAAAACAACAUUUGUUAUUUUAAUUUCAUCUUCUCUGCUACCACCUAAAGUAGUAUGUAUAAAUCCUUGUCUACUUAGUAUUUAAUUUCUCUCCUUUAUCAAAACUUUUGUACAUUGAGUUACAGUUAUAACUAUGGGCUCGAGUUCUUUGCACCGUCGUUGGCUAUGUGGGCCACGCUCGUCUCAUAGCCCGCAUGCUUAGCAUUAGCAAGCUGUUUCUAGAGUAGUCGAUGAUGCAUGAACGAGUCUUAAGAAGAACGAGCGAAAUCAGAUCAUGGUAAGGUAAAAAUUUAUGAUGAUUGGGGACAAUAAACAUGAAUUUUAAAUGGGUGAAUUUAAAAGAGGGGUUUUAUGAGAAUGAUAGCAUGGUGCCAAUAGCUCCUCCAAAUGCCUGGGGUUGUAAGAUAAGAUCCAGUGACCCAAAAGGCCCAACAACUAUCAGAUGAAAAGUCCACUAAAAGAAGAUAUUUGUAAUUGUAUUGGCCAUGUGAUAAAAGAAAAAGAAAAAAAAGGUCAAAAACCGAAGGACGCAAAGGUGUUUUUUGCACGACAAGAACGGUGCAAGUGCAACGAAUAUGGAAGAGCAGAUAAAUUUCCUUCGGCAGGAAGUGUCAAAUUUAUUGUACAUCCGUGGAGUUUCGAAAAGCAAACGUACAUGGCACGGCAAGUGAACAUUAAUUUUUUUAUUUCUUUUAAUCUCUUCUUUAUUUUCACGUUUCAGGAAGGAAAACCAAAAAGAAAAGUCUUAUCCCUAUCUAAAUUUCUCUCCCGAUCUCCGCAAUCUGAGAUUCCCACGUUAUAAUUAUGUCUAUAUUCCACAAAUUAUAUCACAUUUUUUAUGAUGUCGUUUACCAUAUCAUCGGUCAUCUAUCUUUUUCAUUUAAUGGUUAAAAAAUGCUUUAACGUGAUUGAUUUGAAAAUCUCUUAUUUCUACAUUACGAAUAUUAUACCUAGCAUGGCAAAAUCCGAAUGCAGGUGCAAUCAUAUCCAAAUUUACCAUAAUAUUUUGAGAUCUGGAUUUAUUACAAAAAUACAUGUACGGAUCUGAAUGCAAGUAAUACUCAACAAAUUUAUCUAAUUAAAUCAAAUCAAAUAAAAUCAAAUCAUAAUCCAACAAACAACAAUUCAAUACCUAAAAUAACAGGAUCAGGUUACGGUGCAACUGUGGUACCGUGCCACAGUUGCAUCUAGCCGUUAGAUGCACUUGGAUUGAUGGGGUCCAUUACCAUCCAACAGCUGGAUGCAACUAUGGCACGGUACCACAGUUGUACCACAUGUUUCCCCAAAAUAAUAACAACACAAUAAAUUCAUAAAUAAAAAUGCUAUAACAAAAAUUAAACAUCAAGACUAACAUAAAUCCAAGCAUAACACCGCCAUAAAUCCACAAAUAAAAUUAUAAAAACACCAUAAAUCUACAUAAAAUAAUGUACAUUCAAAUAAUUUUUAUUUUAAUUAACUUAUAUAUUUUUUAAUUUAAUUAAAAAAUAAUAUGGAUCCGCAUAUCUAAUUUUAUGGAUGCAUUUGCAUUUAGAUUCAGAUCCACACGAAUUUCAAUUUUUAGCAUUCAAAUCCACAUUUUUUAAUGUAUGAAUCUGAAUUUUUUUGGAUCCAGAUCUUUCAGAUCUUUGCGAUGUAGAUCAAGCUGUACUUGAAUUUUUUGUCAUCCUUAAGUAUACCGUAUUAAGAUUUCUUUCAUUAGCAAUGAUUCUCUUUACGCUCAAGAGGGUUUAAAGGCCUGUUUGAGAUUACUUUUCGGGAGUUUAAAAGUAAUUUUAAAAUAAUUAAAGUUAAUUGUAGUAUUUGGUAAAUUUUUUUAAAAAAUCACUUUUGGUAAAAUCACCUAAUUCUACAAUAUAUUUUGAAAAACUUAGAAAAUGGAAAGGAAUAGCUUUUCAAAAUCUGAUUUUAAGAAUUACUUUUAUACUUAAUAAAUUCCAAAUAUAUCUUCAUAUGUUAUUAAAAUGUAAAAUUAUUCUUAUUAAUUAGAAAAUACAAUCAUUAAAUUUAGAGAGAUUAUUAUACUUUUAUAACUAAGACAACAAAUAAAAAAGAAAAUUAAUUAUUUAAGAUAUUUAUUUUAGUUAUCAAUUAUUAUAUGUACAUAGUAAAAAUAUUUUAAUAAAUUUUAUUUCAGAUUAUAUCCAAUUUAGUCAUUUAUACAUGCUAAAAUUUACACCUCCAAAAUAUGAAAACUUCAACUUACCCCAUAAAAUAUGUUAAAUUUAACUAUUGACCAACAUUGACUUACUAAAAUAUGAUAAUAUCCUUAUUAAUUAUAGAAUAGGUUAUCUCACAGUUAUACCUAUAUUAGGUAGAUAAUCUUUUGUGCCUCUACUGUUUCUAAAAUAAAACUAACUCAAACUUUAUGUGCAGCACUAACACAAUCACCCUUUAAUCUCUUUUUUAGAAAAUAAAACAAAAUCUCAAUAAUACAUAAAACAAUAAUAUUUCUUGUUAAACCCAACCAAAAAACCACUUAAAAACCUCCUUCUAUAUAUAGUUGCAAAGAAAACCUCACCCUCAAUCCAUUCUCAAAUUUAAGAAAAAUAUUUAAGUUUUUUGAAAUAAAAAUCUCAAAAUUUAUAAGAAAGGAAAUUUUUUCUCUCUCUCUUCUUCUUUCUUCUUCAUCUUCUUCUUCUUUCAGUUUUUUUUCUUUCCUCUUUUGCAUACUUAACGACUCUACAACCACUUUUAAUCCAAAUUAGUCCAGCAAAACCCAUGCCCAUUGGCCAUUGCCCAGCAAAACCCAUGGUUGCACGUGACCAUUCUAGAUAUGCCCAUAGUUUCGUGCGGCCCCAAACAUUGCUGUGAGUUGCUGCCGUGGACGUUGUGGGUUUAUGAUGCUUGGAGAAAAUGAAGCGUGGAGCUGAUGGAGAAAAAGGCAGGAAAUGGAAAGAAAAAAAAUGAAGAAAUUAACUAGAAACAAAAAAUAAAAGAAAAAAGUGAGAAAGAAAUUAAAUUUUCUUAUUUUAACAAGAACUAAAUUUUUAUGCUUCUACAGCUAAAAAACUAACUAAUUAAAAAAAUAAAAAUUAUUAAAUGGGUGCAAAGUGAAUUUUGCUGAAACAUUUGCGUUUUGUGGAAAUUAACUUAUAUGUAUUGACUUCUUAUUUGUGAGCUGAUUAUUAAGAGAUUAUAUAAAUACAAUUUUACCCUUUCGAUCAUUAAAAUUAAGGGGGAGAAAACGGUUUUUAAGAGAUAAAUUAAAGUUUUCAUACUUUUAAGGGGUAAAUUAAAAUAUGCUAAUCUACUAAAGGGUAGGAUAAAUUUAUCAUUUUAAAAAUUAUAAUAUUACCAACUGAUCCUAACAAGUAUUUUCAAGGAAUAUUCUCUCCCAAAUCCUUAAAAUAAAAAUGAUUUUUACUAAGACGUAAAGUUAUGGAUCUUACUUAACAUGUCAAAACAUUCAUAUGAAAUGAAAAUACCAAACGUUGCUUAAUUAAGGCGGUAAGGUUUCACAGAUCAAUUUAACUGCACCCACAAACAUAGCACCAAAAAUGAAAUCAUACCUACAAAUUACAAAAUACAAAUCCCCAUCCAUCACCACCAAAAUAAAAAAAUAAAAAAAAUAAAAAUUAAGUAAAACGAAAGUAUCCGUGCGAACCGUACCACCCAGCACCAUAGACCCGCACAUUCUACUAUUCUCUCCGAUAACGACACUUGUAUUCUCGCAGGGGCCCCACUGUUCACGUUAUGACUUAUGAUUUCACAUUCACAUAAACUAGACAUUUUUUAAAUUCCCUCCUCUGUCUUUUAUUGACUUUCCCUGUGUGGUCCCCCACCACCACCACACCCCUACUCUCACCUGGGCCCUACUGACGCUAAAUAUCGGGUCAACUGAAUCUACGGCCUGUGUCUCCCAUACGAAUACGUAUUUCUACUACUAGUUUUGGUAAUAAAAAUGUAAAACCUUAUUUUUGCUAUCCAGCAAACAAAAAAAAAAAGCUGAAACAAAAGAUUCUCUGUCCUUGUUAAAAAUAAAAACCCCUUCCAAAAACAAAGGCAUCGUGUUUAUUUUUUCAAUUUAUUUUUUGUAUUUGUUUUUUCAUAGUAAAAAAAUGCCACCAACAUCCUGUGGUUAGGUAUGUGCCCCAUUUUUGGUAUUUGUACUAGCUGGUACUUUUAUGACUUUUUAUUUAUUUAUGUGUGUGUAAGGUGAUACCUUCAUCUGGGCCUCUGUUGUCUUUGAAUUAUUUUAAUAUAGCUUUAUGAUUGUUUUGACAAAAAGAUUGCCCUUUUUUUUCUUGUUUAAAUUAUUUGGCUCGGUGUUUGUAAUGGGGUUCGUAAUCAUGGGUGUGUCUUCUUUUUCGAUAUAAUUUAAUCAAAUUGCGUAUUUUCUUUUUGGUUGAUUUAUUCAUUUGGGUUGUGGGAUUUUCCAGGCUCAUAAGGGAGGUGGCGUUUGACUUUGAAGCCAAAAAAAAAAAUAAUAAUAAUAAUAAAUAUAAAAUAUAAACAGGAUUGGCUUGGUGGUGAAGGGUUUGGUUGUGAAGCUGUGGUCUGGUCAGGGUCCGCUUUCAUGGUCUCAAAGAUUUGUCCUUUUUAUGGGAUUUGAUGGGUUUCAAUAGAUUUUGAUUUUGAUUUUGAUUUUGAUGGGGAUUAGAUUGGCGUCUGUGACAGUCUCUUCUUUUAUUAGUCUAAUCCAUUGGUUUGAUUGGUAUUCUUGAUUGUAGUGAAGUCAAAAUUUGAUCCUUCAGUGGCUAGACUGUUAAUGGGUUUGAAGAUAUUUUUAACAUAUUUAGGAUCGUUUGGGGAUUACCCUUCUCAGCUGCAGGAGGAGGGAGAAGAAGAGAAGAAAAUCAGGAAUAUUUUAGUGUAUAGGGUUUGUUAGAAUUUCAACUCUCCAGUAUUAGUAUAGCUACUUGAAAAGAAAAAGUAAAAAGAGAUGGGGGAUGGGGCUAAUUCUUGGAUCAGGAGGACCAAGUUUUCUCACACAGUUUGUCAUAGGUUGGAUUCAUCUAUAUUGGCCUCCCUUCCGCUUAACCUGCCAGAAACGAUUUCUGUAUUGAAAUCAAGGCCUGGACCAGCUUCCUCCAAUCAGAAAUCAGCUCCAAACAGUUCACAGAGUCAGCAAAAUCCUGCCGCAAACAAGCCAAGAUCUGUAUCACCCCUUCCCGAAACAGUUCUCCCUGAUACAUUCAAGGAAGCAAGGUCUGCCACCAAGAGAUUUUCAACUCCACAUCCUAGGAGAAAAGAAUCAGACAAGGGAUUGGUGGGUAAGUUUUUACAUAAACAACCUCAACAAGAGACCAAGGCAUCCUCCAAUUCCUACAGUACAAGCCCUCUCAGGCACUUGGGUUCUUUGAGAGUUACCGAGAGAUAUAAGAGCAGAAAGGAAUCAGCUUGGACCAAGUAUUUUGAUCAUGGCGGAGUUAGGGUUAAUGCUGUGGAUGCUGCAGAUGAACACACUGUUGACCUCUCUCAGCUCUUUCUUGGGCUUAGGUUUGCUCAUGGGGCACAUAGCCGACUUUACCAUGGGAUAUAUAAGGAUGAGCCUGUUGCGGUGAAGAUUAUCAGGAUACCAGAUGAUGACGAAAAUGAAACCUUGGCAGCUCGAUUAGAGAAACAAUUCAAUCGAGAAGUAGCUCUUUUAUCUUGCCUCCACAAUCCAAAUGUCAUAAAGGUGACAACAUUCUUUCAUUUCCCCUUUCAUAUUUUAUUUAGCUUUCUUUGCGAUUUAGUAAUUGGUUUGUUACUACUAGUGAAGAAUUUCGUAGCUGCUGCCUUUUGAAUCUGUUCUUAUGUAAGAUUAUUUUAUCUGCUAAACAGUUUGUAGCAGCAUGUAAAAAGCCACCAGUAUAUUGUGUCAUCACAGAAUAUCUAUCAGAGGGUUCCUUGAGGGCAUACUUGCAUAAGCUGGAGCACAAAACCCUCCCCUUACCGAAACUGAUUGCAAUUGCUCUCGAUAUUGCACGUGGAAUGGAAUACAUUCACUCUCAAGGUGUCAUUCAUCGGGAUCUUAAGCCAGAAAAUGUCCUUAUUGAUCAAGAAUUCCACCUGAAAAUUGCUGAUUUUGGCAUAGCCUGUGAGGAGGUGUACUGUGAUGCAUUGUCUGAUGACCCAGGAACUUAUCGUUGGAUGGCACCUGAGAUGAUCAAGCACAAAUCAUAUGGGAGAAAGGUUGAUGUUUACAGUUUUGGACUCAUCUUGUGGGAAAUGGUGGCUGGAACUAUCCCAUAUGAAGAAAUGAAUCCAAUCCAAGCUGCUUUUGCAGUAGUGAAUAAGGUAAACUUUGGUGCUUCUUGCUGAUAAAUUUGUCUGGUUUAUGACUGCAUAUCUGGUCCAUUUCAUCUGAAUUCAUCAUAUGCAAUGAGCUGCUCUGACAUAGCUUAAUUUUUUCUGAAUGGUAUCUUCGACUCUUUGUUAGUAAUUUUCCAUUGAAACUGAAAAUGAAUUGCCCCGUGGUUUCAACUCUCUAAUUAAUCAUUGUUGAGUUUGUUGUUUAUAGACAAUGAGCCCACAGAGUGCAAUCACAAGAAACAUUAGCAUGAAAGUGCACUAAAUGCCUUGAUCAGUUUAACUUACUAAUCUUCAGGGUUGUGUAAUAUUCAUGAUGCACAAUUUCCUUGACUAUGGUAUGUUUCUGUAAAAUAUAUUUUUAUUGUUGAAACAACUUCAAUCUGCAUUGACAUUAUAGUAGAGCAAAAAGAAAACAAGGAAAAAAAAGAAGAAGAAGCUUUGUUUGGGUUUUCAUGGGGAAUGGCAAAAAUUAUAUUUCAUAACAUUCAUAUGCAGAAAUAGUUUGCUGUAACAGAUUUUAUUUUUAGUAGGCAUGCUCAGAAGUUUUCUUUAAGAACAUAACAUCAACAGAUCAAAUUGAUUCUGAUGUGUAAUAUAUUCAUCUAGAUUUCCAUGCUACAUUAGAUCAAUAAUCAAGCAGAGUAACUGCUUUUUUACUGUUCUUUUUCUUGGUUUUUGCUUUGCUAAACAUGGGAUAUCAAAUGAGCUGGAAACAUCUCUAUCUCUUCAUCC
rnacentral:lncRNA from 1 species